AUCCAGACAACCAGGGAGAAUAUCGGAUGGCAAGAACGGAUAGACAAGUAUCUCUUUCGAGCGCAAAUCGCAACUAGCAGCUAAUUCCAGACCUAAGCUCUACUAAUUCAUUCAUUGAAUCCAACUCUAACAUAGCAUCAAAUGCAAACAAGAAUUAUCCAUAAACGAAAUUGAUCCAACUUAGAUGACGCGAUUCGAAAUCCGGAUAACCAAUUAAAGCAAUUUAAUAAAGAAUGUCAACAAAACCAACACAAACAUCACAAUCCAUCGCAAACAAAACAAUGAGAAGAGAAAGAGCUAAGUUCAACCUGUUAUGCCAAAAUUCUUUAAGGUUUUGAUAAUGCAUAGAUACAAACUUUCGAGUUCAAAUUUCAGACGGAAUCUAGCACCCAACAAUGGAAAAUGGAGCUGAACAAAUAUAAAAGAGCCUGACUCAGCAACGACGCUUGAACUGAGUUCAUCCUCGAUCAAAUUCCAACAGAAUCCAUGAUUAUCAACAAUGGCUAAAUCAAACAGGAAGCACAGGCAAAAUCGAGACCUCAAACUGGAAACCUCAUCGAAUUCGGAACAGGAUGCCUUCAACGGCGACCUCUAUAUUAAUUGAACUCAUAAAAGGCUCCAAAUUCGUUUGUGUGCGUGACCCUUCGGGUGAGGCUGUUAAGGGCGUUCAAAAACAGGGUUUGGUCGACGACGAUAAUAUAUGGAAGAGGUCGUUCUGAUCGAAGAAGAAGAGAGAUCGUGAGGGGGUAUCUCUUGUAAAAGCUACCAACUGCGCUCAAUUUUUUUUCAGGCGUCUCUCUAUCUUCUUUGUGUAUAUGUGUACAUAUUUUCUGUAUUUUUCGAGCUUUUUCAAGAAGAAAAAAAAGCUGCCAAGCCUUCUCCCAAUUUCCAGGCAUGUAUUUGUAUUCUCCUGUGUGUUUUGCCUCUAUUGUAUCAUGUGCAUGUUUAUAGGCAUAUAUUUCCAGAAGAAGCUAGAGCCGCCAACCCUUCUUCAAUUCCCAAGCCUCUCCUCUUGUUCUUUAUGUUAUCGUGUGUUGUGUGUUUUUGUGUCUGUUAGGUCUUUAAGGAUAGGAAAUGGAUUUGGGUAUUGGGUUGGGUUGGGUUGACCCGGUUUGGGGUUUGGUAGGGGCUAAUUUGGGUUGGCUAUAAAAGAGAAAUUGUAUUGGACUUGAAUUUUACUAAGAUUUUGGCCCAAAAAUAUGAUUCCUCUAUUUUGUUUUCAAUUUUUCUAAUUUGUUUUAAAUUAAAACUAAAAAUAACACCUAAACUAAUUCCUAGUCAAAUUAUUUCAAAUUAAACUAAUUACUACAACUAAUACUUAAUUCAACUAAUUAAAACCAAAUUAAACGAAAAACUGCCGAAAUUCAAUGACUAAAAUUAAAAGUGCAAAAUUAACCAUUUUUAUGAUUCUUUUUUUGAACACAAUUUAUUCAAUGUAAUUAAUUCCUAAAUGAAAAUUGAACCUAAGGUAGCAUAAAAUUAAAAUGUGACAUUUUUUAUGGUUUUUCUAUGAUUUGAAAAUAUUAAAAAUGCAUGAAAUGCAACUAAAAUAAAGAAAAAUUCCUAAAAUCAAUAAAAGAAAUUACUUUGGUCUAAUUUUAGGAGUUAUUUUCAUGUAGGGAAAAAAUCACGUGCUCACAACUGCCCCUCUUUACGCGGAAACACGAAGACUUUUCGUGCAAAGAUAAGUGAGCAAAUACAAGCGAUUUUUUCCCGUUUGAAUACUCCAUGGCGAGCAUUUUGAAAAGAUUUGACCACACCCUGCUUCAGAGGCUGCCUACAUAUCCUCGGCUAAAGAGGAAUCAGGUAAGUGUAGUUCAGGUGUAAGUGAGAUGAAGGAGUAUGCCGAGACGAAGAUCCGGUUAAGGUGUCGUUCCGCCGAGGUUCCGGUCCACGGUCCUACUAUUACAUCAAAAUCAAAAGAAUGAAAAGACUAUCUAAACAUGUCAACUAUGAGUUACAAGGUUCAUAUCUAUAAGUCUUCUGAAGCUUGAUCUUGAGUCUUGAGUGGUUCUUCAUUCAGACUUUAUAUUUCAACCUUGACGCUUGUUAUGUGCAGGUACUAGCUCGUUCAUCUUCAUAUUUUCUUAAUUAAGACCGGACAUGUAGCGGGUGCAACCUCAACCAUGCCUUAAGAAAUUCACAUCUUUCAUCUGCUUUUAUUUGGAUUAACUUCCUGCUUGCCUUUCUUUUUUCUUCUCUUUUUUUCCUUUAUUGUGACUAACGUUUUUUGAUUACCUCGGACUAUUGACUUGCAAUCUUGCCACGAGCUUCUCUUGUUGUUGACUUGAAUUGAAAUCUGAGAUGUUUUCCCUUUCUCCAUGUGGAUGCCUGAUUGUUGAACUCGAAUUGUGUUCCCUUGUUCUCCAGAUGGGUGCCUGAUUAUCAAAACUUAACACUUGAAAACUAUUCCCUUCUUCUAUAGGUGGGCGCAUGAUUGCCAAAAUUUGAAAUUUUUAAAAAUAUUCUCUUGUUCUCCAGGUGGGUCCCUGAUUAACAAAACUUGACUUUUGAAAAAUAUUUCCUUGUUCUACAGGUGGGCGCCUGAUUACCAAGAAUUGAAUUUUUGAAAAAUAUUCCCUUGUUCUACAGGUGGGCGCCUAAAUUCCAAAACUUGAAGUUUUAAAAAAUAUUCCCUUGUACUACAGGUGGGCGCCUGAUUGUCAAAAACUUCAAAUUUAAAAAUUAUUCCCUUGUUCUACAGGUGGGCGUUUGAUUGUCAAAAACGUGAAAUUUGAAAAAUAUUCCCUUAUUCUACAGGUGGGUGCAUGAUUAUCAAAACUUUGAAAUUUUGAAAAAUAUUCCCUUGUUCUAAAGAUGGGCACCUGACUAUCAAAAACUUGAAAUUUGAAAACUAUUUCCUUGUUCUACAGUUGGGCGCCUGAUUACAAAAACUUGAAAUUUUGAAAAAUAUUUCCUUUUUCGACAGGUGGGCGUCUGAUUUUCGAAACUUAAAAUCCUUAAAAAUAUUCCCUUGUUCUACAGAUGGACGCCUCAAACUUGAAAUUUAAAAUUUUGAAAAAUAUUCUCUUGUUCUACAGGUGGGCGCCUGAAAUUUGAAAUUUAAAAUUUUAAAAAAUAUUUCCUUGUUCUGCAGGUGGGUGCCUAUUUGUCAAAACUUGAAAUUUUGAAAAAUAUUCUCUUGUUCUACAGGUGGGCGCCUGGUUACCAAGACUUGAAUUUUGAAAAAUAUUCCUUGUUCUACUGGUGGGCACCUGAUUACAAAAACUUGUAAUUUUGAAAAUAUUCCCUUGUUCUCCAGGUGGGCGCCUGAUUGCUAAAACCCAGAUUUUGAAAAAUAUUCCCUUGUUCUACAGAUGGGUUGAUAGUUGCCAAAACUUAAAAUUUGAAAAAUAUUCCCUUGUUGUACAGGUGGGCGCCUGAUUACCAAACUUGAGAUUUUGAAAAAUAUUCCCAUGUUCUACAAGUGGGCGCCUAAAACUUUGAAAAAUAUUCCCUUGUUCUACAAGUGGGCGCCUGAUUGCUAAAACUUGAAUUUUGAAAAUAUUCCAUUGUUCUCCAGGUAGGCGCUUGAUUGCAAAAACUUGAAUUUUCAAAAAUAUUCCCUUGAAAAAAAUAUCUAAGUUUUAAAGAACACAUUUUCUUUUGUCUCUUUUUUGAAAAAAAAAUGAAACAUGUAAACUCUUUUUGGAUUUUUUUCCUUUUUCCUUUUGUUUUUAUUUUCAGAAAAUAAUAAUAAAAAGUGCGAAAUAUUUUUGUUUUUGAAUUUUUCACAUAUCCUUUAUCUCUUUUUUUAAUAAAAAUAUAACAACAACAAAACUAAAUCCUACUUGCUUUAUUUUCACACUUCACCCCUCUUUUUCAUUGUUUUUCUUUUUUUUCUAAUUUUUUUCAUUUUCCCUCAGCUAUCAUUGUUCCGCCAAAUGACCCUUUUACCCUUGAAAAAAAUGCAACAUGUGGCACAUAAAAUGGAUCAGGAUGGUCUUUAAAUUAGGUACACCUAUCCUAGACAGACCCAACCCCUAUGUUGAGUGCCCUAAGUCAAAUGCAUGAUGCAAAUAAGCAUUCCUACUAGGGAUCCUGCACGAGGCUGAGUUAUUCUAGGUUAAAAACCUUGGUAUAUGAUCUUGACAGUGUACCCGAGCCAACAACUCGAGUCGAGGAGGGGGCGACAUACCGGGAACCAAAAGGACAUCCCGUUUAGUAACUUGUCUGGCCUCUUUCUUAUUUCAGGGUAUGACACUAACAGAAUAGGAAGUCUCAACCAGUAAGCACAUCCCUGGAGGUGAGAAGUGGAGGGUUUUGUAGCAGCUUAUAUGUACAGUUCGGAUAAUAUCAAAGCGGUAAAAGCAUCAUUUUUCACAUUAAGCCAACAUAUAAAUUCAGAUAAUAAACAAAGCCAAAUACAAUAAUUAUUCUAAGCUCGAAUUCUUGAACCCUGAACCAAAGAUUCUGGGUUCGAUUCCCAACAGAGUCGCCAGAGCUGUCACACCUCCUUUUGGCCACUACAACCCGCGAAUGGCUUACAAAAGUGAGUUUUUCCAAUUAAAGAACAAUCGAGACGAGAUUCAAUUUUGAGAGAAUUUCAGAGUCACUACUUGGGAGAUUUAUGGUGUCCCAAGUCACCGAUUAGAAUCUCGAAUUGAGGAAAAGAAUGACUCCGUUUACAGUCUGCGAACCAGAAAUCCGGGUAAGGAAUUCUGUUAACCCGGGAAAAGGUGUUAGGGAUUCCCAGGUUCCGUGGUUCUAGCACGGUCGAUCAACUGUUAUAUUUGGCUUAAAUUAUCUAAUUUUAUACAAUUAUGGACAUACGUGCAUUUUGAAUCUUUUAACUACUUUUAUUAUUAUUUAUUAGAGAAAAUUACUACGUCGUUAAAAUAUGCCUCGAACCACGUCACAUAAAUACAUGAAUUUCGACACAUUUCAACUUCGUUGAGAUUUGGACUUGGGUCACAUAAAUGUGCACCCGAAUUUAGGAGGGUAGUGUUAUUAAGCACGCACCUAGAGCAGCUACACAUUAUUAACUUUGCGAGAGGCCGUGAAAGUUUUCUAAGCAACUCGUCUCGAGUUCUAAGUAUAAACAAGAUUAAUUAAAACGAGGGCCAUGCAACAUUCAUUUUUGUUUGGCAUGGAGCGCCCCAAUUAUAAUUUAAAAGAGAACAACAUUUGGAGGACCGUGAACUUUCAAACUGUUUUUAUUUUAUUUAAGGAAAAAUCAAGGUUAUUUAAAAAAUAUCGCAAGCCACGUCAAAUGAAAUGCGCCCGUGGUUCACAACCUGCAUUAUUUAACCUUGGUUGGAAUUGGAGCCGAGCCACAUAAAAUGCACCCAUUGACUCCUUUAAUCUAAUCACUUAGUUCAGUUGAUGAAUAGCAACCCAAUAUCUAUAUUGUGACACCAUCAUGUCCAGCUAUGUCAAAUCCUAAUAAACAUAUGAACAAGUAUAUAUAAUGUUCUUCACUCGAUUAUCAUCAAGUAGGAUUAGCUCAAAUACAACUACCCUUAUUCUCUUUCAAUAUCGUGAUUUACUUUGCGCUGUCGAUGAAUUUUACCCAAAUUUAUUAAGCCAAACAUAUCAUGUGCUCAUCACCUUAAAACUGCCCAACCUAUUCAUUUCUAUCCCAUCUAAUGUAUCGUAUUCAAAACAAACUAAGAGAAAGUUUCAAAAAAAACACAAAACAACUAAAGAAAUUUGAACCUGGUUAUAUUCAAUUAUCCUAAGAACUCAACAUGUGUACCAAGCUGAUUUAAAGAACUUACAAUAAAUCAAAGUUUAAUUAGAACUUCAACCUUAGUGAUAACUAAUAGUCUCGAUAGUUAUUUUCAAGAAAAUUUAAGCAUUCAACAUGCGAAUUGGUCCCUAAAACAGUUAACUAUAACCUGAAUGCUUCAGUUCUGAUUUCUGACUUUCAAACACAUCCAGACAACCAGAGUGAAUAUCGGAUGGCAAGAAUAGAUCGACAAGUAUCUCUUUCGAGCGCAAAUCGCAACUAGCAGCUAAUUCAAGGCCUAAUCUCUACUGAGUCAUUCAUAGAAUCCAACUCUAACAUAGCAUCAAAUGCAAACAGGAAUUAUCCACAAACGGAAUUGAUCCAACUUAGAUGACGAGAUUCAAAAUCUGGAUAACCAAUUAAAGCAAUUUAAUAAAGAAUGUCAACCAAACCAAUACAAAUAUCACAAUCCAUCGCAAACAAAACAAUGAGAAGAGAAAGAGUUGAGUUGAACCUGUUAUGCCAAAAUUCUCUAAGGUUUUGAGAAUCCGUAGAUACAAACUUUCUAGUUCAAAUUUCAGACGGAAUCGAGCACCCAACAAUGGAAAAUGCAGCUGAACAAAUAUAAAAGAUCUCGACUCAGCAAAGAGGCUCGAACUGAGGUCAUCCUCGAUCAAAUUCCAUCAGAAUCCAUGCUUAUCAACAAUGGCUAAAUCAAAACAACAGGCGAAAUUGAGGCCUCAAACCGAAAACCUCGCCGAAUUUUGAACAGGAUGCCUUCAACGGGGAUCUCUAAAUGAAUCGAACUUAGAAAAGGCUCCAAAUCCGUUUGUGUGCAUGACUGUAUGCGUGACCUUUGGCGGAGAGGCUGUUAAGGGCGUUCAAAAACAGGGUAUGGUCGACAAUGAUAAUACGGGGAAGGGGUCGUUCUAAUCCAAGAAGAAGGGAGAUCGUGNNNNNNNNNNNNNNNNNNNNNNNNNNNNNNNNNNNNNNNNNNNNNNNNNNNNNNNNNNNNNNNNNNNNNNNNNNNNNNNNNNNNNNNNNNNNNNNNNNNNNNNNNNNNNNNNNNNNNNNNNNNNNNNNNNNNNNNNNNNNNNNNNNNNNNNNNNNNNNNNNNNNNNNNNNNNNNNNNNNNNNNNNNNNNNNNNNNNNNNNNNNNNNNNNNNNNNNNNNNNNNNNNNNNNNNNNNNNNNNNNNNNNNNNNNNNNNNNNNNNNNNNNNNNNNNNNNNNNNNNNNNNNNNNNNNNNNNNNNNNNNNNNNNNNNNNNNNNNNNNNNNNNNNNNNNNNNNNNNNNNNNNNNNNNNNNNNNNNNNNNNNNNNNNNNNNNNNNNNNNNNNNNNNNNNNNNNNNNNNNNNNNNNNNNNGGGGGGGGGGGGGAUCUCUUGUAAAAUCUACCAGCUGCGCUCAAUUUUUUCAGGCGUCUCUCUAUCUUCUCUGUGUAUAUGUGUGCGUAUUGUCUGUAUUUUUCGAGCUUUGUCAAGAAGAAGAAAACAUUUCCAAGCCUUCUCCCAAUUUCCAGGCGUGUAUUUGUAUUCUCCUGUAUGUUUUUUGCCUAUAUUUUAUCGUGUGCGUGUGUAUAGGCGUAUAUUUUCAGAAGAAACCAAAGCCACCAGCCCUUCUUCUAUUUCCAGGCCUCUCCUCUUGUUCUGUAAAUUAUCGUGUGUUGUGUGUUUCUUUGUGUGUUAGGUCUUUUAGGUUAGGAAAUGGAUUUGGGUAUUGUGUUGAGUCGGGUCGACCCGAUUUGGGGUUGGGUAGGGGCUAAAUUGGGUGGGUUUAAAAGAGAAAUUGUAUUGGGCUUGAAUUUUACUAAGAUUUUGGCCCAAAAAUAUGAUUCCUCUCUUUUGUUUUUAUAUAUUUUCUAAUUUCUUUUAAAUUGAAAUUAAAAGUAACACGUAAAUUUAUUCCUAGUCAAAUUAUUUCAAAUUAAACUAAUUACUACAACUAUUACUUAUUUCACCUAUUUAAAACCAAAUUAAACGAAAAACUGCCGAAAUUCAAAGACUAAAAUUAAAAGUUCAAAAUUAACCAUUUUUAUGAUUCAUUUUUUUUAAAACACAAUUAAUUCAAUGUAAUUAGUUUCUAAAUGCAAAUUGACCCUAAGGUGGCAUAAAAUUAAAAUGUCAUAUUUUAUAUGGUUUUUCUAUGAUUUGAAAAUAUUAAAAUGCAUGAAAUGCAACUAAAAUAAAGAAAAAUCCCUAAAAUCAAUAAAAGAAAUGAUUUUGGUCUAUUUCUAGGAGUUAUUUUCAUUUAGGGCAAAAAUCACGUGUUGCAAAGUACAAAUCAAGGAAGAAGUAGAAAAUCCACUAAGCAUGUUGCACAGAGUUCAACUAAGCAUUUAAUAUAGGUAGACAUUUAAUACUAGGCUAAACAAGAUAACUACACAUGAUGGUAUAACUCAAUUAAGAGGCAACAAGUUAUUACUCAGUAAAAAUCGGGUUUUACAACAAAUAGCAUGUGUACCCACUCGUCACCUUACGUACACGAUGCUCACACAACACCAAAUGCUAUGGGAAGUUCCUUCAUGCAAGGUUAGACAAGCCACUUACCCCGACCAAAACUAAAUCAAUCAGUAGCAAUACUUUUUCCACGAAUAUCACACUCUGAAAUUCCCAAAUCUAGCAAAAAUCAAUUACAUACCAUAAAUAUAACUAUAAGAAACUAAUCUAAUUUAUGAAAUCAAGCUACGGUAAGAAAUUAGAAUAUCAACCCAAAAGGUCUCCCCGGACUCAAGCCUCGGAAUCAGGUAAAAGUUACAAAAUAUGAACACCAAUACACUCUCAUGCCUAACCACUCAAUAAUUACUUGAAUCCGACAUCAAAUCGCCUUUCAAAACUUGAAAUUUUAAUCUAUGAAGUUUAUACAAUUUUUCCCUAAAUUUCCAAAUCAAAUCCCUAAUUAGAAGAUAAAAAUAGCAAUAGAUUCAUGCAAUAUAGCCCAAUCCAAGUUAGAAUCACUUACCCUAACAACUUUCUUGAAGAAAAAUUUGAAAAUUUUCCUCACAUUGAGCUCUCAAAAAUCGAAAAUGUGGAUCAAACCCUCGAAUUCCUCUUUUCUGCCUAGUUUGUCUGCAUUUGUGGACAUGCCAUCACACCUUCAUCAACUAAGAAUGUUCCAUCACAGGUGUAGAUUCCACUUAAAACUCGAUGCCUGCUUUUACAAUCGAAGGUCCGCACAUGCGCGUGUACACAUACGGGCGUCCUUCGCUUUUGUGUUCCCUCACGCCCUUGGCCCUUCCAUUUUUGCACUCCAUCUUCUGCAUCUGCGGCUUCGCAAAUGUGGUUAUCCCUCCACGGUUGCGACCCAUAGCCUUUUCCUACCAAGCUGCACAUAUGUCCUUAGGCUCGCUUCAGUGGGAUCGCACCUGCGGUCAAUCUUGCGCAGGGGAGAUUACACCAGGUGCAGCACGUUCAGCUAUUCUUCCAUAACCAAAUUUGAUCCGUUAACCAUCCAAAAUCAACACAAGAUCCCCCCAACCUCAACCAAGAAUACCGACAAGUCCUAAAAUACCAUACGAACUUAUUUGAGCCAUCAAACCACGUCAAAUAACGCUAAAACACGAAUCACCCUCCAAUCCAAACUUAAUGAACUUAAAGCUUCAAAUUUCUACAACUGAUGUCGAAACCUAUCAAACCCCAUCCCGUUAACCCUAAAGUUUUUCACACAAGUCAUGUUCAACAUUAUGGACCUACUCCAAUUUCCAGAAUUGGAAUCUGACUCUAAUAUCAACAAGUCUACUACCGGUUACAAAUAUCCAAAAAUUCGACUUUUGUUAUUUCAAUCCUAAAUAAGCUACAUACCUGCAAAACACAAUCCGAACACGCCCCUACGUCCAAAAGCACCCAACAGAGCUAACAAAACUAACAAAACUCCAUUUCAGAGUCGUCUUCGUAUAGUUCCGACUACGGUUAAAAUCCUAAGACUUAAGCAUCUGUAUUGGGACUAUGUGUCCCAAAAUACUACAACAUCAAAAAUGAAAUCUCGGGGCAAGUCACAUAAGCUAAAACAGACACGGGAAAAGCAUUAAAUAGGGGGAUCAGGAUUAUAACUCUCAAAACGAUCGGCCGAAUAUUUAUAGCUAUGAAUAUGGAGUAUAUUUCUAAUAACCUUAUUUGUUCUUUCUGGCAUGUAUACAUUCGCGCAUGUUGAGUUCUUAAGGAACUCAGGACCAAACCAGUUCUUGUUGCAUUUUGAAAGAGUACAGCCUUGCCAUGGACGUAUCUCUCAAGUCGCAGGGCUACCUUGUUGGGGCCCAAUCAUCAGAAUCUAGAUCUCUCUCCCUACCUCUUUCGUUACUCUUCUACAUUUCCAUAGCUUAGCGUACUACUUUCAUCAUCUUUCACUUACUACCCUUGUUGCUAUUUUAUCAUAUGAUAUCCUCUUGUAUUUAACACUCAUAUAUUAGAUUAUGUGUUCUUUUUUCAUGCUCUAGUAUUACGUGGAAUAUAGGCAUACCUUAACUAAUAUAAGAAUUAAAAGAAAAUAGUUAGUAAUUUAUAUUAGUCUUUCUAUUUAAUUAUAACUUGUUGAUCUUGAAAACUCACAUUUCUUAAAGGUUUUGAAGAUCAGGUAUUUAAUAAGAACAACAGCCCGUUUCAAAGAAAAAUUAGGAAAGAGUCACUAUUUUUCACUGGCAAGGAAUGAAAUCAGAUUUUCAUAAAAAGUAGUAAUGGACAGUCUCAAAAGAAUUUCUAAAUACUCGUUUCUUCAAAAAAAAAAAAAAUUUAAAAACCACAGUACAUUUGAAAUCUUUCUUACAAACAACUCUUAAGAUUGCUCUAGCAUCAAUUUUCCAAAGUACUUACUUUCAUGACUUAAUAAUUACCAGCCAUAAAAUCUAGACCACUUUCAAAACCCUCUUAACUUUCAAUAACUCUUUUGUAAUCCUAUAUCCCUUCUAAAGUCUUAUAUGUACUCCUUUUAACAUGUAGUAAAUCGUGCGUUAGUGAUGAUUAAGCAUAGUAUAAAUACUUGAGUCAUUUAAAAUUAGUCUAAGUCCUAUGGAGCUACCUCAGGUAUAUUUUAAGGGAUUCCUAACACCUUAUCCUUAGAAGAACAAAAAUCCUUACUCAUGAGUUCACUGGUUUACAGACUCGUAAUGACAUAACAUAGUAAUUAAAUAGGUACCCUAGUAUACAUUAAAAUAUUAGGUAGCGGCUCUCUUUCAUCAACAACAGAGAAACCGUAAAUUGAAGCUUGUCUUGACUAGUGCAAAAUAUGAUGCAAUAAUAUAUUCCAUGUCAUCAUCAACCACAUCAUCCACUAUAUCAACUACGGAGAUCACACCAUAGUCAUGUGAUUGUUUCAUUGACUUUUGAAUAUGAAAAAUUAACUUUUAAUCAUUGAACCUAAAUUUGAGCUCUCCCACCUUAAUAUCACAAAUAGCUCGCUCGGUAGCUAGGAAAAGCCUAUCAAGGAUGAUUGGAAGUUCUAUAUCCACUUCACAAUCCAUAUUACAAAGUCGGCUGGAAAAUAGAAACUUUCUGCUUUGACAAGGAUAUCAUCAAUGACACAAUGGUUUCUUUAAUGUUUGAUCCAUCAUUAGCAACUUCAUUAUGACAGGUAUAGCAUCCCCUAAAUUACACAAAGGUUUUGUGAAGCUUGUCAAUCUGAUAGAACAAGGAAUCGUGAAAUCACCCGGGUCUUCCAUCUUUCUAACCCCGAUAUGCGAAAUGAUUGCACUACAUUGGUAGGUGACCUUGAUGGCCUCGAAAUAAACAUUCUUCUUCUUAGUGACUAAGUCCUUCAUGAAUUUAGCAUAACCCGACAUCUUUUUAAGAGAUUUAACAAAAGGCACAUCAAUGGUGAUUUGAUUCAACGUAUUAUAGAACAUUUGCAAUUAGCCUUCUUGUUCUUGCUUUACAAAUCUUUGUGGAAAAAGAGGAGGUGAUCUUGGUAAUUGCUUGUACACCCUAGGUGCUUCUUUGCUUACCUUAUUGAUUGGUCCAUUAUCCUUUGAAGGGACUUCCUUUGAAUUUGGAGAGGUGCUUGAUGCUUGGUGCACCUCUUCAACAAAAAUAGGACUUACUAUUGGCACCCAACACUUGGGAACUUCAAUCAACUCGGGUGUUUCCUUGACCAUGAGUGGUACAUUUUUCUAGAGAAUUUCAUCAGCUUUUGGAGGAUCAUCAAACUUGGGAAGAGCAACCUUAGAAACAUUGAGACUCUUGACCUUAUGAAAAGCAUAUUUGAGAGACAACUCCUCUCUGUUAUCAUCAUCCAAGACUAUAAUGGAUUCUUCAUUAGGAUUUUUCCCCGCCUUGUGGAAAUGGAAAACACACACUUUAUUCCCUUAUCUCACUUUCGAUUUGGAAUUAUUUCACUAGGAAAUGAUCUUUGUGGUCUUACAUUCAAUUGAGAAGGGAUUUAACCCAAUUGCGUCUCAAUUUUCUUGAUUGAAGUGGUAUGAGAAGCCACCACUUAAUUCAUUCAUUGCCUUUCUAAAUCAGAUUGCUCUUGAUUCUUGAGAAUCCUUUCCAUCAUCUCUAAAACUUUGUUGUCACUUGAAGAGUUACCGUGGUUUUUGUAUGGAGUAGAUUGGUAGGAUCAUUGUUAAUAUUGUUGGGAAGAUAUAUCACCUUGAUUACCUUGAUUUUCCCUAUUCCAACCUUGGUUUCCUUGAUUGUUUUUCCUAACUUUCUUGAUUGUAAUUUUUCCAAGCGCCUGGUUAUUACUUGGCUUCCAUUGUCCUUGGUCUCCAUAGUUGCUGACAAAUUGCACUUCCUCACUUUUCUCCUGAUAAGAAUUAUCUUGAGUGUAACACCCAUUAGCUUGUGAGUACAUAUGAUAUUGAGGAUGACUUUAAUUUCCCUUCCUCCUUUGCUUAGCACCCAAGACACGAACAUCUUUCACUGUAUAUACUUUGUUGCACUUUUGUAAGUUGAUUCAUAGUAGUUGUCUACUCGGUGAUGGCUUGACCAUGAUCUUGUAAAUCCUUGUUGAGGUGAAUCAUAUUCAGAUCCACUUGAGGAACAUUUGCUCGAGAUUGCCAAGAAAUUAAUGUCUCCACCAUCUCAUCAAGUAUGACGCAGGUCUUCAUGUAUGGCAUGGUCAUGAAGUUUCCAGCGGCAAGAUGGUCCACUAUAUGUUGAUUGAUUUUGUUAACCCCAUGGUAGAAGAUUUGUUGCAACAUGUUUUUCUGUCAUAUAAUUAUUAGGAAAUUCAUUUACCAUGGUUCUAUAGAAUUCCUAAAUUUUGUGUUGUGGCUUAUUUGGUUCUUGCUUGAAUGCCAAGAUCUCAUCCCUUAAAGUAGCCAUGUGCCUGAGUGAAAAGAACUUGGCAAACAUCUUGUCCGCUAACUUAUCCCAUGUAUGACUAGAAUGAUUUGGUAAGCGCUCCAACCAAUCUAAAGCUUUUUCCUUUAAGGAGAAAGGAAAUACCUCGAUUUCAAAGCGUCUUCAGACAUAUUUGUAUGCUUAAUUCCCAAACAAGCAUCCAUGAGCCCACUUAAGUGCUCGAAUGCAUUUUGAUGAGGUGUCCCGUUGAAGUAGUCUCUUUUCUCAAGCAAGGUGAGCAUGACUUUGUAAUUUGAAAAUUUUUCGCCCUAAUACAAGGAUUACAAUUGCACUUGUAUAGAAAUCAUUUAAUGUGGUAUGUUGUUGAACGGUUGUCCAUGUGGAGGUGGUGAUGGAGGAGACAGUUUGGUUUUGGAUUUGCCCUCGACCACACCGGUUUCCUUGAACCGGAGUCGCUCUUUCAUCUACCAUAUCUUUAUGAAUGGCCGCAAAAGGCAAAUCAUCAAGGUCAUUUUUGUUCGCCAUUAGUAACAUACGGCAAGCAUACAUGAAUCAAAGUAUCACGAAGAAAUAAUACGAACUCGAGAAAACACACAAUAAAAAUCUAACACAAGAACACCGUACUUCCCGAUAACAAUGCCAAAAAAUACUAACGUCCAUUCUUACGCCUCUAAACAAAGAGUAGCACGGUCCUUAGCAAAUAAUUAAUCCAACAAGAUUAGGGUCGAAUAUUACAAGGGGUAGGUAUGUGUUAAAGUGUCCAAAUAUGUGUAAAUGUAAUCUUCAAAUAAAGAGUUAUUGUUCAGGUACUUCUAAAAUUACUAUAAAUCUAAUCUAAAAAUUUUAUCGAACACAUAAAAUGCAAGUAAUGAUGUAGUUGUAACGAAUCAGAAAAAGGUGCUAGAAUUGCUUUUCCCUCAUAUAGGCUAUGCUUUUGAAUAUAAAAUAUUCAAUUCUAGUUAAUUAAGCAUGUAUUAUAGCCUCAACUUCCAUUUUACUAACAUAGUAUCUUCCAAUACUUAAAGAGGUUAUUACCCCAAGUUUCUCUUCCAAGUCAACUAAGGCUCAAUGACAAGUAAUGAUUAGCCCAAGUAGAAAUCACAUUAUUCCUAGCUAGAUUUCAUUAAUCAAAUGGUUAACCCGUUUAAUUUCUUGCUAAUUACUUUGUAACAAAGCUAAGUUCUACUUGUCUAAGCUGAACAAGCAAAAUAGGAAUGGAAAUCAAUCAAUAAAGUAUGAAAUAAUUAGAUAACACAUGGCUUACUCAAACUUAGGACUAAUAUAAUAAUCCAAAAGCAUAACCCCACUUAGGUUUCACCACCCUAACUUAAGAAGCUUAGCCAAACAUUAUAAAGAAAGAAAAUAUAAAGAUAAAUGAUAAUAUAAAUAUACUGGCCUAGAGACUAGAGAAAGAUUAAGCAAACUAUGAUGAGAUCACCCUAAAACUUUUAAGUGAAACUCCAAAAGAAGCUCUCCCACAUCCAAAGGGAUUAAAGAUAUGCUAAAAAUGACCUAUAUUGCUAUUUAUAAAUAUUUGUAAUAUCUAUCAUGGAGCCGAUUGAUAAUCGUCUCAUCAUUUUUCUUUAAUACUUCAGGUGUUCUCAUGGAUUUGUUCGUGGAGAUACUGAUGUUUGUGGCCUGGUUCGUGGGCCGAAAUGGCUCAACAAUUCAGAUCGUGGAGCUACGCAGAACUUAUACAAUUCUUUGCUUUGGAUGCCUUUUGGUCGUGGAGUAGUUCGUGGAACCGACAAGGCCGCGGAGUUAGGCAGACUUUGUUCUAAAUUUUUCAUCCUUAGUCAAUUUUCGUGCAUUUUAGUAUACCUUGUUUCGGCUCCGGGAUUAACCUUCGUGGAGCCAUUGUUCUCCUACUUUUCAAAUUUUUGCUCGAAAUUUCAUCUCUUUUCACCCUUUUUUUUCCAAUCCUUCAUCAACUAUAUUAUUUAAGCUCAAAUACAAGAAACCCCAAAUUAAGUUAGUUAGAGCUAUUAAAUCUUACUUAAAGAACCUUAAAACUCAAGAAAAGUAUGAAUAAGUUAGCCAAAAUACCAACUUAUUGGCAACAUAGUAUUUCCGCAGCCUUGCAUCGUGAUUCCUUGCUCUACUCUGUUGUCUUUCAUGUCUCUUUGUCCAACUUUGUACUUCAUUUCAAAAUAAGCCUACAAAUAAAAACAACUCAAUUAAAUGUAAACAUAACACGAAUCGUCAAAAUUUACAAGCAAAUUGUCGGAUAAUAAUUAUAUAAAAUAUAACAUAUAUAAUUGCCUCAUAUCGGAAAUCCAGAGCAAUGACGUGAGAGGGUUGACUAGACAUAUAAUUUAAAAAAAAAUAAAUACUUUUUGUAAUUCGAACGUUUUUUUGGAACAGACCAAAAAGGAAAUAGGUUCACAAAUGGAGGGAGUAAAUUUUAUCAUUUAUGAAGUGUAAGAAAUAUGCAGGAUACAAUUCCAUGUGUCCUUAGACAGAAACUUUAUUCCUAUGAUUUCGGCCCUUUUGUGGAGUUUAUGAUGUAUUAUAUUUUUUGGGGGAAAAGGAUAAACUUUACCUUUACCAUUUGAAAUUGAGAUUAUUUGUCGUCCAUAAACUUUUAAUCUCUUAUUACUUCUGCCGUUAGAAAUGAAGUUCCUUUUUGCCUGUAACUCUCACUCUAAUUUGUCAAGAGUAUAACUAUACCAAAAGUGAACUAAAGAGCAAAAUUGAAUAAUUUCGUAUAAUCUAUGGCACAUUUUAAUAUUAUCUCAUAUUCCAAUAACAAAUCCUACAUCAAAUAAAAUUGAAAUGGUUCAACCUGAUGUAUAAGGUAAAGUUAAUGGAAUUGGUAGAGAAAUCAUACAUAUAUAAAUAGGAUAAAAGAAUUUAAAUUUAGAAUGGCAAUGAUGAUAUAUAAGAUUGUACUUUUUUUGGGUUAAAAGGGAAGAAUAUAUGUAUAUAAUAAAGCAAAGACUAGGCAUUACAUUGCAUAGUACUAUCUAUGCUGGGUACAGAAGUUCCCGUUAAACGGUCAUAUUUUGUUGGAUUAUCUUAAUAUUAAAUGCUCAAAAAUUCCUAACAACUUCAGUUCCUAGGAUGUCUAUCCAAAGUAUUUCAUUUCCAAACAUCGGAAGAACUGCUAGUUGGUUGGGUCUACCCAAAAAACAUAAAUUUGCUGCCUCCUUUGCCAGUGCAUUGGCCACCCUAUUCUGAUCCAUAUAGGUGUGCCUCACCAUUACCUUGUGCAUCCUUUGUAUUAAUAACCUGCAUUCACAAAUCAUAGGUUCAUAAGUUGUGUUGCCUGUGAGUAGCAUUUUUAUUAUUUCAGUUGAACCUGUAUUGAUGUCUACCGGGAUCCAGCCAUUUUGUUCUGCUAGUUGGAGUCCUUUUAGUAAAUAUUUCAAUUCUUCCAUCGUAUUGGUGGCAUAUGGUAUAUUUUCCAUACCCCCAUAAUCAAAUCCCCAUUAUGAUUCUCGAACACUCUACCAAUUCUCCUAAUGCUUGGAUUACCCUUGGCAUCCCUAUCCAUUUUGAGUUUGUAGUAACCCCUCUUUGGGGUUUCCAUUUAAAUAUGGUAUGAAAUGGCCUCCUGAUAGAACAAUUUUUGCCAACAUAUAGUACUUUGUUGCUUUCCAGAUAGUGUUAGUUGUACUGAUGCUAUCUCUUCUAUUAUUGAAGAGGUUAUGGUUUCUAACUAAUCAAAUAUGUCAAAAACGAAAAUGGAAUGAUGUUCUCGCAAGGAAUUAUGUUGUUGAAGGAGUGUUUCGUUACCUUGUUCCAUGUUUAUGGCCAUAAUUACACUGAGAAUGUAAGAUUUUAACUGUUGACUUGCAGUAGAUCCCUUGGAUAACAUUUCUUGCCAGAAGUGAAUUGCAUUGGGGCAUUCAAAGAAGAUGCGGUUACUUGUUCCAGGGGUUGCUAGGCAAAAACAACAUUAGGGUUACAAUUAACCACAAUUCUAUGCAUGAAGGCACCAGUUGGUAGCCUAUCUUGAGAAAGGAGCCAGGUAAAGUUUUUGAUUUUGUUAGGGGUUGUUAACUUUCAAAUCCAAGUGAAGUUGCAUUCCUCACCUUUCUGCAAAGACUCUUUAUUGAUGCUAAAAAGGUAUGUAUUGAUUUGUUGGUAAAGGUAUCGCUUGGAUUCACCCCUCAUAUUAGCUUGUCCUCUUUGACAUAGUUGAAAGGAAUAGAGGUUGAUUUUAUCAGGUUAGUGAUUUUCUCGAGGAUGUCCAUAGAGAUAGAAGAGAGAUCCCAGUUCCCACAAGUGUAGACCGAGUCUACUUUGGUAGCUAUAUCAUUAAGGGUUAGAGGGCCUUAAAGCAUGUCCUUAAUAGCUGCCUUGUUAGGGAUCCAAGUAUCAUUAAUAAAGCUCACUAUUAAUUUUGUAGAAAACCAGUCUACUAGCCUUGUUGCAUGUAUCCCAGCCCUCAAGGAUACAUUUCAUAAUAGGAGAUUUAGGCUUUUUGUGUGUAUGGUUUUAGUUACAAUGCUUAGAGAUCAUAACUCUAGCCCAUAGGCUCGAGGUGUUAUGGUAGAUCCUCCAAGCAAGCCCGGCAUGUGAUGCUUUAUUUUUAAGCUCAGCUUUUUGUAGACCCACCACACCAUGAGACUUUUACCUAGUGACUUUGUCCAAAAUAACCAGGUGCAAUUUUUGCUUGUUUGGAAUUGUUCCCCAGAUAAAGUUUCUCUGAGUUCUACAAAUUUGUUUGAUAGUCUUAGGUGGCAAUUUGAUGUAUUUUAUGAUAUGGCUUGGGAUACUACUGAGGGAGGCCUUGGUAAGAAUGAUCAUUCCAAUCAUAUUAAGGCAAUUUAUUUUCCAGCCAGCCAGCUUAGAUUGCAUAUUCUCAAUUAUGAAUUGGAUUUCAGUACUAGUAGGUAUCUUAUGGAAUAUAGGGAAUACAAGGUACUUCUCAAAGGAUGUUGUAGCUUGGAUCGACAGUACUUUUGUGAGGCAUUCCAUUAUAUCCUGCCCUAUGUUAGAGGAGAAAAGGACCCUGAAGUUUGUGAGAUUAAUUGUUUGGCCAGAAUCCUCAUUGACUGCCUGCAGAAUAGAGAAGAUUGUAGUGCAGUUUCUAGUGUUGGCUUUUGCAAAGAGUAUAAGGUCAUACCUACUGAUACUGAUAGGAAUACAUUAUUUGUCCUGGACAACUUUAUUAAUUGACCUAGAGAGCCUCUCCAUACACAGAAUGAACAAGUAAAAGGAAAUUGGGUCCCCUUGUCUGAAGCCCUUGGAGGGGCUUGAAGGAAUCUGUUUUGCCCUCUUUCACUAGGAUUGAGAUGUUGGAUGAGCUGAUGCAUGACAAGAUUAACAUAGUCGACCCAUCAGGGAAGUUGAAGGCAUGUAGCGUGUCCCUAAUUAAAGACCAUUCUAGCAUGUCAAAAGCCUUUUCUAAGUCGAUUUUGAGAAUUAUAUGAGUCUGGUUCCCUUUUUUCCAAAAUGAUUAAUAUAUUCUUGGAAAAUGAUUUCGUUAUCAGAAGCCCUCCUAUUUUAUAAGGAUCUAGCCUGGCUACGUCUAAUUAUUUUCAGGAGCAUUGGCUAGAUCUUGUUCACAAUGAUCUUAGUGAUGGUCUUCUAGAUGGUGUUACAAAGCUCUAUUUGGCCUGAAGUUUUUGAGGAGGCUUAGGGACAUUUGGGGAUAAGAUAGAGUAGAGUUUUAUUCAUGGUCUCAUCCAUGGAGUGAGUUUUGAAGCAUUGUUUGCAGAAGUCAAUUACAGAGUUCCCUAUAAUGCUCCAAUACCUUUGGUAAAAAACAACUUAAGCCCAUCAGGGUUGGAAGCCUUGAAAGUCUUAAGGGUGAAGAUGGUCAUUUUGAUUUUGCUAACCUCGAGUGGCCUGUCCAAGCUAUCUUUUUGACAGUUUGAUAAGAAUGAGUCAUUUCCAGAUGGCUGGUAGGGGAGAUGGGAGCCUAGGUUUGUGAGGAAGUGUAGAGGAUCUUGAAGAAAAGCAUAAUGGAAGCCUUAAUGUCCACUUGGUCAUAGAGCCAGUUACCACUUUUUUCUUUGAGGGACAUGAUCAUGUUUCUUCUUCUCCUAUUAAGAGUGGAGGUAUGGAAGAAUCUAAUGUUGUCAUCCCCUUAAAUUAGCCAAUUAACCCUUGACUUAAGUUUCUAGAAGUGUUCCUCACUCUUGAGGAUGUGGUCUAGUUCUAUGGUCAGGUUGCUUUCAAGGAUUAACAAGUAAUUAUUGAAUUGGUAGUUUGGUGAUUUUUGGAUCCCAGCCAUUCUUACUAGGAUCCUUCUCUUUUUGUGGAAGAUGUUGCCAAAAGUGUGCCUGUUCCACUGGGUCACAAUGCUUUUGAAAGAUUCAGUUGAUUGGAUUGGGGAGGGGGGAAUUAUCAGUAAAAGCCUCAUUGAUGAUACCAGGGAAUGAGGUGUUGCAAGUCCACAUGGAUUCAAACCUGAAAGGUCUAUUGGAAUUAUUGAAAGAGUCACCGUUUAGCACUAUCUGAACAGAGCAAUGAUCGGAGUAGGUCAUGGGGGGAUGUAUGACAAUAGCCUUAAGGUACUGUGAAAUCCAAUCCAGCACUCAUUAGCAAAGAACCUAUCUAUCUGUUCUAGAAUCAUACCACGCCUAUUUUUAUAUCUUUUGUUUGUCUAGGAGAAUUUGCUGCCUCUGUACCCAGAGUUAACUAGCUUGCAUUCAUUAAGUCAGUUCCAAAAUAAUUACUACGACUUGAGUUAAUGGGGUUUCUCAUAAGUUUGUCCCUAGCUUUAAAGACUGCAUUGAACUCUCCAGAUUGCUUUUGGAGAUAGUAAUUACACUUUCCCGUAGCAACUUCCUAUCAGUUAAAUACUGCUAGCAUAAAUAGCUUAAAACAACCAAGGGGUGUGGGAUGUGAGUACCUUUUACCAUGGCAUGGAUGCCCUAGGGAUAGUAGAAACCUCGUCAGUAGUGAAGUGGUCUUCUUUCCACGCCAUCACUAUCCCACUAGAUAAGCCAACAGCCUAAGAUUAGAUAGGCAUAUCAAAAUGCAGCUCCUUCGUCAGCUUUUUAUGAUCAACCAUCUUUGUUUCUAGCAAGACCAGCAGCCUUGGCUUGUGGAGCUGAACCAUGUCCAUGCAGUGCCUCCUGAAAUACGCACUAUUUCCUCUCCUAAUAUUCCAUAUGAUUUAGUUCUUCAGAGGUGGUCUGAGGUUUAGGGACUGGUUUCUAUGAGGCUCAUCUGAUCCCUGAAGAUACCUCAUUAGUUUCUUUUGGUUCUUUUUCAUCAUGCUUAGUGGUGGGGUCAAACCGAGGAGUGGUUUGUUCACACCCUGUGUAGACAAGGUUCUGACCACACUUGGUCAUGUUUCUUGCACAUAAUAACACAAGCACUUUGCUAGUCUCCAUAUUGAACUCGAUUACUCUGACUGAAUCCAAUAGGAGAGAGUUUGUGUGAAAGGGGCUGUAGGUUGUCCCUUCCAUUUUUUGUAGACUUUUCCUUUUUAGAUGAUCUAAGGCUUUGUUGAUUUCCUUUUUGAUAUUUCCUAGCGUGACUAGCUCUUCUCUACUAGAGAAGAAGGUGAUGGAGUUUGGUAGUUUUGGCAUUCGAUGGUCACAAACACCAGAGACACUCAUGGGUCCUCCUUAUCGGGACUGGGAAAAGGGGAUUGAGUGGAGUGCUUGAGAGAUUAGGGUGUUGAGCAUUAGUAGGCCAAAAUUUGGUUACAUGUUGCCAUUAUUUGUUUCAUUUCCUACCAUAGGCAUGGGCCAAAGGUUGUCAAGGCCAUGUUUAGGGCCACUACCAUUACCCUUGCUAGAUGCGCCAGGUUUUGGACAAUCGGGGUUACUGGUUGAUUUUCCAUAGUGAAAACAUAGUCUUGCCCAUGUCUUUGUAGCACCACUUCCAGAUAGAAUGCUGGUGAGUGAUCCAGUGGCAGUGAUAGCGACGUCACAAUGGUAGGUAGUGGCUGAUUUUUUCUCAUUUUUAUGUUUUUUUGUUUUGCUACUCUAGGUAAUGGCGGGAGGUAUUUUAAUGAGCCGGUUCAUAAUAGCGUUAUUUGGUGUCAAAUUUAGGUUGUAGGUGGAAAGUUCAUCUAUUAAUGCAUAUAGAAAAGUGGAUUCGCAAUUAAUGUGGUAUAUGUUUGAAUAGAUGGAAUGUGACAUGUCACUUGUGGUUUAGUGGGUUCUCGAGUGAGGAACUUGAGUUUUCAUGGAGUGUGGUGAGUUUUUCCCAUUAGAUUAGUCCAUUGGGAGAUGAGUAGGGGACGCGUAGGUAUUUGGGUAGGGUGAUUAUUUGGGUUGUGUGGUUCCGAUUGGAACGGACCCCAGUUGUUGAUUUUGUAUUGGCUUGCCGGCCCAAUGCCAUAUCUUUAGUAUUAUUAGUGUCUGAGGUUGGGUUAUAGGUAGGAGUCUCCUUGUAUCCAUUAUUAAAUAGCCUAGUAGAAUUUUGGGUGUCAACUCUAUCAGGCACUAUUCCCGCCUUACAUUUCGCUUUGUACUUAGGUUGUGGUCGCGUGUAUUGGCUACUGGGGAGUGCGGGUGGGAUUUUGUUUAUUGACAAGACCGCUGGGCCUAUUGUAAUUUUAGGACUGAAUAUUAUUGGACUUAGAAUUGUGUGAAAAUUUUUAGUUUCCAAAAACUUUUCAGAGUUUGCAUCAAACAUUUUUUACCUGGAUUUUUCAUGAUUUUGGUGCAUGAGGCUGAUUGUUUUUAUUCCCAUUGUUCCUUUCCUUCAUCGUUUAUUGACUUAUUUUCUUUCUUCUAGGGAAGGUGACUGUCUUCCAUCCAUUGUCCUCCCCUUCCUUAAUGUUUUUCCCUGAAUUUUUUUGGUGCUUCUUGUGACCGUGGUGGUUGAGACUUUUUAAAAUUGCAAUUAUUUUGUGUGACCAAUUCUUCCAUAUAUUGUGCAUAACGUACCUUCACCUUCUUAAUGUUCAGAUAUGAUUAUCGAUGUUUUCACUAGGUUUUUUUGGGGUACUUGAUACAGAUGUGUGCAUAUCUUCCUCUAAACAUAGAAGAGGUGCAUGAGACAAUUUUGAGUAAUUUUUUAAGUUUCCUACCAACUUUAUCCUAAAUGUCUAUUGGAAGUUGUGUUAGGCAAAUCCAUAUGGUUGUGGAAGAGAAAGUAGCUUCUUGUGGUACGAAUUUUUGGUUCCAUUUACGUACUAAUAGGAAAUUUCAAGAGAGGAACCAUGGCCCUAGAUGUAGUUAAUGAAGAUCAACUGUUCAGAUGGUUUCCAUAGGCUAGUUAGUUUAGAUCAAAGAUAAUAGUGAGGUAUUCUACGCCCAAAGACAUUUAUGAUAAUGGAGAAGCACCAUGGUUGAUAUAGGCAAUUCUUCUCUACUUGGGAAAGGGCAAUUGAACCUUCAAUAUUUUUUCCUUUAUCAUCAUUGAUGAUUAUGUGGGGAUCCUCAUCAUAGUACCCCAUUGGACUAACUGCCUGCUUGUCGAGUAGUAUUUCCUUGUAGGAAUGUGGUGUUGUUUCUUCCACAUUCAUUUGAUUAUUCUUGUCCGAUAGUUUUGGUGAUAUAGUGGUUGCGUUCAUGUAGGUGUUUCAGAUAGAGGGGAGAGUUUCUCACUCUUCCCCUUAUGUCCUGAGGCUGUAUAUCUUUUUAAGAUUAUACUAAAAUUAAUAUAAAGAGAAUUUCGCAUGAGUACCUCGCGAAUCUUGCACAAUUGGUAUGUAUUCCACCAUAUUGUGUCCCACAUGUCUUAUGGUCUUUGGUUUCCACGUAUCCAAUGCCCUAACUUCAAGGUCAACUCAACAUGACUUUUAGAAAUUAAAAUUAUUUUGCUCAUCAUUUCAUCAGUUGUUUCAAAUGAAAAAAAUAAUUUGAUAAAGAGUAUUUUCCCUUAAUAUAUCUAUACCAUUUAAAUUCGGAUUAGUUAAGAAGUUAAUAUGAAUAUUAAACAUAGGAUGAAAACCUAGAAUAUCACCCCCAAGAUGCAUGUUAUCUUAGUUUGCGCUCAAAUAUUAAUCCCACAAGGAUGAGAUGUUAAUAUCUAUACAAUUAAGUCGAGAGAUAAACCUUAUCAAACUACAAAUCUCAGACUAUACUAAAAUUGUUCAGGCUAAAGAUAUUAAUUAUUAUCAUGGUUCUUCUCGAAAGUUAACUUAUGACAUGUGCUAAUAUAACAUAAUUAUGUAACCAUGCCAAGAAAAAAAAUUGCGAGCUUAACUAAACCAUAAAAGCUAGUUCAUGAUGUGUUUCGUAAGACCAUAUAAAGAAGCACAUAAUUCACAUCUCUCAUCCACAUGAGAUUCAGCACCCUACCCACGUCCAACGGCUGGACAUUCGGAGUAUAGACACUAAAAGAUGUGGGAACAACAUUGGAUUGACAAUGAAUCCGAAUGAACCUGGCUUUGAUUCUAUGAUAAAUAGAAUGUAACAUAAUUCAACCCCAAAGCUGCUCAUAAAGUAAUAAUUGAUCAAGACUAUAUAAAAAGUCACGCAUAAUCCACAUCUGAACAUACAUGUUACUAAAUUUACUAUAACAACAACAACAACAUACCCAUUGUAUUCCCAUAAAUGGAGUAUGAAGAGGGUAGUACGUGUGCAGUCUUACCUUUACCUGAAGCCUUUAGAGAGGUCAUUUUCAAUAAACUACCAAAUUGUUCAGCCCCAUUUUUCCUCACGGAGUUCGGGUUUUGACAUUUUGGGGAUAUCUCCUUUCCUUAUGGGAAUUGGAUAGGAGAUUUAAAGAGUCACCACCUAAAGGAUUAAGGUGUAAUAUAGCACGUGGAGCAAAUAAUUCAUGAACUAGUUUAUAUUACCAAGUAUGGGGUAAGGGCUCAGAAUUACCUUGAGAUGAAGGUGUUAGGCACCCCUCGAGGGGGUCCUGGCCAAACUCGAUUUAAGUGAAUUAGUCUUAUAAGCAACUUAAACAAGUAGAUAUUACUCUUAAAACAAGGAGUAAAGAGGGUCCUAGAUUUUUUAGCCUAUAGGAUCACUUCUCUGCAAUACUUGGCAAUUGUCCCCAAAUUGGGAUACUACACAUCACAUUAGUGCGGAGUUUAUCAUUUCCGUGACUACACAAUUACCCUCCCCUUUUCAAUUAUUAUCUAAGAGUUCUAAUAACAUCUAGUACGUACUUUAUACAUGCACUAAUCGUCCAUUAUCUCUGGCCUCGGAGGUGUUUCGUGCCUAUAUUUAAGGCGGUUCUAAACUCACCUAUUUUUUUUAAAAGGAGAAACCUAAGCAACAAAAAAAAUUCAAGUAGGACUGCUACAUAAGGAGCAAUUAAAUGGGCUCAUAUUAACCUCCACAAGUAGACAAAUAAAUACAUGUUGUUCAAACAGACACUUCAAAUGAUUUUAGGAUCCUAUAGGCAGUAUAUCUAAAUGAGCACAAAUAGAAUAUACAACAGUUUUUUAAAGCGAGCAGACGGGUACUAUCAGUUAUCUACUAAUUUUUGUUAAUACUCUGAAUCUGGGCAUACGUCAAACAAGCAGUCAUAGUUUUUUAGACCCGGAACAUACUUAAUCUACAAGCUUGCCUAAAUGAUAGUCAGGAAGAACCCUAUAGUCAUGGUAUCUAAGCUGUAAAGUAGUUACUGAUUUCCGAUUCUAUCUUAAAUCCUAUAGGCAUUUUUUCUAAAUGCAGAAACUAAAUCCUUUAUUUCCUAUAAGCAUGAUUUCUAAGUGCAGAAACUAAUUUUAAACACUUACUUCCUAUAUACAUGAUGUCUAAGUGUCAAGACUGAUUUUAUAUUUAUUCCCUAUAGGUAUGAUAUCUAUGUUGCAAAAAACUAAUUUUAAAACCUUAUAGGCAGGAUUUGUAAGUGCAGAAACUGAUUUUGAAAUCCUAUUGGGAUGGUACCUACAAUUUUAAACCUAUAGGCAUGAUUUCUAAGUGCAGAAACUAAUUUUUAAUUUCCUAUAGGCAUGGUAUCUAUAAUUGUAAACCAAUAGGCAUGAUAUAUGUUAAUCACAUAUGGGCAGAAUUCUUAAGCACAUCGCUAGAAAAAUUUGUUAAUCAAACCAACAGAACCCUAAGGACAUGGUCACUAGUGCACGUUGGUUGAAAAUACAUGUAGAUUCUAUAAGCAUGAUUUUUAAUGUGCAGAAUUAGACAUAAAGUCCUAUAAGUAGGGUUUCUAACAUGCAGAUGUGCAAAGCUGAAUUAAGCGAUCAUAAAAAUCCUAUAGAAAGGAUCACAUUACAUUAUCCACAUAUUGUAAUCAGCAUAGUUAAGGCCUAUAAACAGGAUUUUUACCUACUUUCAACAAAAGAUAUGAGAAUAGAACCCCUCCCCACAACUUUUACAAAUAACCCCAUAUCUGUUUAUCACAUGGAUUAUUACAGGCUAAUAUGAAUAAAUUAGACAAUAAGAAUCAUUAUACUAUAGGAAGCCUUAGCAUGCCCAAUAUAAACGUGAGAGUCAGACCUUCAGCAUAACAGUCUUGAAAAAGUAGCAGAAAUUCAUUCAUAGCAUAUUAAACCAAAUUCCAGUUUGUCAAAGUUCCCAAAGAGCCUCAAGGACCCCGGGAAAUAGUCGCACCAGAGCCAUGUAUUCAACACAGAAUUCAUAAAGGGUCGGAAAACCAUCCCCAAUGUAACAACGUUCAAACGAGUCUUAGGGACCCUAGGCAGUGCUCACACUAAGGGUGGUAGGAACCUAAAGUAGUAAGAGUAGCAAUUUGAAAACCAGUACAUAGAAGGUAAGGGAGAUAGUUUUAGAAAAUAGUUUAAUUUUAGAAGCAAAUAGAUUCAGACUACAGGGGUUGCAAACAGAGUUGUACAAACAGGGUCCAUACUCAGCACGCGAUUAAGGAAGGUUGAUAUAUGUUUAGACUUUUCUCCGUGAUCACAAAAGCAAGGAUACUUGAAUUAACAGACAAAGUUAGCCACAUUACAUGCUUGUAGUAUCAAGCCAUGUUAUGAACAGGGAAAAUACAACUGAUAUGGAUGGGGUUUCAUCUAACUUAGUUUAUUAGAUAUCACUAGAUGGACUCAUAUAGACAUAUAUUCAACAAAAGCAUGCUGGAAAUUGAAAUAACUAACCAAACAAACAUAUAGCACAUGAUAGUAGGAAUUAAAGCUCUCUAGUCUAGAAAGAAGUAAACUGAAAUCAAGGGCCAGACAUGCUAGGGUAAGCCAAUCACAUAACCAUAAAGAACAAAGCAAAUUAGUAAGAUUUGAGGCAUACUAGUUAGGGAGAAUGCAAGAAGGAAAACACAUGGCAAACAGAAACAUAUCGCAGUUGGAAGUACAUUAAUCAUAUAGUCACAUAGAACAGCAAUAAGUGAGGCACAACCGGUGUGAACAAGAUGACCAAGAAUCAUAUGUCAAACAGGAACAUGUUGAGGUCUAUAAUAGACUGAAUACAUAGCAUAUUGAAUAGAACAUGGUAACAUAAAUUGAGACAUGCUAGUUAUGAGAGCAGUAAACAGGAAACAGAAGGGUAAAAAGAAUCAUAUUGAAGUCUUACUACAUGAUUAUAGAAAUAGAGGCAUACUAGUUAAAGAGAUAGCAAAUAUGAAGGUUAAGACGAAUGAAAUCCAAGAGGCUAGCCUUGACUUUCAUCCGGCUAGACAGUGCAACCAAUCAAAGAAACUUAAAUUGUGCAAGUGUAAGUGUGUAUCAGUGUGUGCUUGUAAGAUUAGAUGUCUGAGUCUGAGAGUAUGUUUUUUAAAAAUCCGAACAAUAGAGGGUUUUAUAGCACAUAGUAGAGUAAAACCAAAUAAAAUAGGAGAAUCAAUGGUACACCAGUAAGGCAAAGGGAUCAAUCAAUCAGUCAAUAAGGGCUUAACAUGAAUCAAUUAAUAGGCAGAAUCAUGGAGGUAUCGCUUAAAAUAACAGGGAAUAAAUCAACAGCCAAGAUUGAGGUCAAAACAAGGUAAAUAGCAUGUCCAAAAGGCAAUUACAAGUCAGAACACAAAAUCGGGCCAAUAGCAAAGAUAAUUAAUCACAUAAAUAAGGUCAACAGGUAAAAUCUUAGUAAGGAGAUACGGAUACUAAAUUCAAGCCUAAUUUAGGUAAUAAAAAUCAAUUAAUACUGAAUUGACAGGAUUAAAGGUAAAUGGGCAAAAUAUAGCAUGAUAUGCAAUCAAAUAAUAAAAAUCCUAAAAACACAAAGAUAUAUAUAUAUAUAUAUAUAUNNNNNNNNNNNNNNNNNNNNNNNNNNNNNNNNNNNNNNNNNNNNNNNNNNNNNNNNNNNNNNNNNNNNNNNNNNNNNNNNNNNNNNNNNNNNNNNNNNNNNNNNNNNNNNNNNNNNNNNNNNNNNNNNNNNNNNNNNNNNNNNNNNNNNNNNNNNNNNNNNNNNNNNNNNNNNNNNNNNNNNNNNNNNNNNNNNNNNNNNNNNNNNNNNNNNNNNNNNNNNNNNNNNNNNNNNNNNNNNNNNNNNNNNNNNNNNNNNNNNNNNNNNNNNNNNNNNNNNNNNNNNNNNNNNNNNNNNNNNNNNNNNNNNNNNNNNNNNNNNNNNNNNNNNNNNNNNNNNNNNNNNNNNNNNNNNNNNNNNNNNNNNNNNNNNNNNNNNNNNNNNNNNNNNNNNNNNNNNNNNNNNNNNNNNNNNNNNNNNNNNNNNNNNNNNNNNNNUAUAUAUAUAUAUAUAUAUAUAGAAGGAUUAAAUCAAGUAAAAAUCAGUCGAAGAGUAAAUAAGAAAGCCAGAGAAUAGAACAUUUAAGCGCUAAAACCUUUAUGCAGAAAUCCAUCAAAAAUCAAAAGCAUAGCUUUUAGAGUAAACAAAAUCGGUCAAUAACAAUAGUAAGAACAUAAAAUCUUAAAGGAAAAAUAUCAAACAAACACCAAAAUCAUUUCAGAUCUAAAGAGAUCUGGACGAAUUCAACCAUAAAUAUCUAGGUUCAUAAAAAGGACAGAAGCGAAUCAACUCUUGUUUAAACUAGAGAUUUGAAACCCAAAACAAGUACGAUGACACUCAUACUUACAAGUAUCAGAGUGAACAUAGACGGAGUAAUCGAGACAUGAGAGACUUUGAACCAGAUUUAGUCCGAGUCUCUUGAGAUUCACAUCAAACAGCGUAGAAAUCAUAUAACCAGUAGAGAUAGGAGGUCAGAUAAGGCCCAAUAUUGAAUAGAAACCCCAUUGAUCGAAGGGGUUCAGUGGAUGGCCGGCUAGGGUUUGAGAGUGAAGAAAGGGAAGAUUGAGACAGAAGAGAGGAGGAAGGAUCCAUGGGGUGGCGGAAUUGGAAAAAUGAGUAGGGUUUGGAGGGGGUGAGGUUUUGGGUAAUUAAAAAAGGAAAAUGAACCUGCACCGUUGCACUUUUGAGAUCAACGGCCAAGAUUUGAUCUCAGAGGUUGGGGGGUAUAAAUUUGGGUAAGGGGAUUAGGCUGUGAUUUUAAUUGGAUUGGGGGCAAUAAUUUGGGCUAAGGUUUGAAAUUAAACAAAAUUAAAUAGACUAUUUGUUAAAUACUCAAUUAGUGGAUCAAAUAAGUUGUAAAAAUAGUUAAUUAAUUGAUAAAGAAUGAUUUUUAUGCAUGAAAAUGAUUUGAAAAUUAUUACUUAAUAUUAAAAAAAUUCAAUGGGUUAUUUUCUAGUUAAAUAAGGUAAUAAUGCACACAUGGACAUUAUUACAAAUUUAUUGCAAUUAUAACCCUAACAUGUGAAUGUGGCUAUUCAUGAAAUAAUUAAAUCUUAGUAUAAAUAUAAAAUUAAGAAAUAAUCAUCAAAAUCGAUUGUGAUGGAAUUAGUAAUUAUUUUGAUAAUAAAAUGCUAGGAUAAAUUAAUUAAAUUCCUUUUAAAAUUAUUAAAAAAUUAUGAAAAAAUACUUAUUGAUGCUCAAACACUAUUUUGAAAGUACAUAUGUAUUUUAAAAUAUAUAAGGAAAACAUUGAGUAUCACCCCCCUCCCCCNNNNNNNNNNNNNNNNNNNNNNNNNNNNNNNNNNNNNNNNNNNNNNNNNNNNNNNNNNNNNNNNNNNNNNNNNNNNNNNNNNNNNNNNNNNNNNNNNNNNNNNNNNNNNNNNNNNNNNNNNNNNNNNNNNNNNNNNNNNNNNNNNNNNNNNNNNNNNNNNNNNNNNNNNNNNNNNNNNNNNNNNNNNNNNNNNNNNNNNNNNNNNNNNNNNNNNNNNNNNNNNNNNNNNNNNNNNNNNNNNNNNNNNNNNNNNNNNNNNNNNNNNNNNNNNNNNNNNNNNNNNUCCCCCUCCCCCUCCCCUUCCCCCAGACACGCAUAAUUAAUCACCAAAGUAAGGAAAAGAAAUGUAGUAUGCUCUACAUCCGAUAAUCUUCUAUCCUAACUUUCACCUCCAUAACCUCUAUUAAGGGUUUUGGGGGACUCAAUACAUUAUUCAAUAUUUUCACAUAUAUAUGUUGUAUAUGGUUUAAGUCAACACCGUUUUGUGUUUUUAUAUGUAAUAUAAUAUAUAUGCCCUGAUGUAUGAGUACUCUUACUAUUGAAAUGUCUCUUUAGAGAACCCAUUCGCUACGUACCACAGAAUUGAAAGCAUAUAUUAACUUUAGUGUGACAAGCCAUAUGUUUUCCUUUAUCUGGGAAUCCAUUAUUGAGACAUGCAUAUUACUCUUUCCGUAACCAAUAAGCAAAAGCCAGGUUCAGGAUGCCCUCUCUAUAUCAUUUAUCAAAAUGGUAGGAGAAAUUCGCCAAAGCAUUUAUCGUGACGUCUUGUGAUGUUCACGUAACUCUAUCCAUGCCCCUGCUUUUAUGCUUAUCAUCUAUAAUUUGCCCUCUUUUUCAAUUACGUAUCUUCAGUUGACAUUCUAUCCUAUACUCUCUCAUGACUAGCAAUCUCAAAAAUCAAUCAACAUUCAUCAAAUGGAAAAUAGAGUAAAUUUUCUUUAAAGAAAUUUAAAAAAAAAGUAAAAAGUAAACAUGCAAAUAAUUAAGUCAAGCGUUAUAUAAUGCAUUUGUAUAAAGUAAAAUUUGACCUUAUAUACAUAAAGCAAAUUUUUUGUGCGGAAUAAUCCCUACUACCGGCCCGUAGCUCAUUCAUGUUUUAUCUUUCUCGAAAAGUCGACUAAUUGUUAUAAUGUUGAAGAAGCUCAUGUUCUAAUAGGGACAACCCAAUAGUUAAGAAAUCACAACUUGAAUAGUUAAAUUUGUCCCGGUUACCUUUUAAGCACAAAUGUCGUAAUUUGACCUUCUCCACUCACUUAUUAAUUAUUUAAAUUUUUAGAAUUUCGUUAUCUGAAAAGGCUAACCAACCUUCUUCGGCUAGAUCAAUUUCAUUUAACUAUUGACUCUUAGUUAAUUUAAUAAUAAUGUGUUAGAGUAUGCUUUACUCCGACAAUGUCAUUUUCGAUGGAAAGAAAAAGAGUUUAAAUUUAUAUAAUCAUAGUGAAAUUCAUAUAAUUAUGUUACUUAGAACCCAAUUGAAAUUUAAGUAAUUGCUUACACUGUAACACCAUGGAGAGUAAUUAAGUAAUCUGUUGCAACAAGUUAAAUCUAACUGACAUAAUAUUAAAUUUAUAAGUAGAAAAAAAAAUAUUAUAUAUAUAUAUAUAUAUAUAUAUAUAUAUUUUAGUGCACUCAAGGAUCCGAUCAUCGAAUCAACAUGAAGUGAGGUGAGAAUUGUGAGAUUUCAAAUUUAAAUUUCAUAGGUGAUCUUUUCUUAUAUGUCCAAAUUUUGGUAGAUAAUUUACUUUAUAUUUGUGCUGAUAAAAGAUAGCAACUCCUUUACGGAAUUAAUUGAGAUGUGCACAAACUAACAUGUACACCACAAUUAUAAAAAAAGAAAAAGCUAUAUAUUGAUUAGUUAAUUAGGAUAUGGGUGGAAUAAAUUCUAUCACUAAGUCAGCGUUAUGGGGAUCAGACGUAUAUAUCUAAAAUAAUGGCCUUUUGAUUCUUGCCACAUAACUAAGUAAAAGCAUGAUGAACAAGAAUUGUCCUUCCAUUCUUAAUGAGAAGCUUCAAUAUGGGAAUCUCCAGCACAAUCAGGAUUUAAUCAAGUCCCAUUAUCAUAUAGAAAAUUUUAAUAAAAAGGUAGAAGCAUGACGUAAUAGUAGGAAAUGGGAAUGUGGGAUAGGUGUCAUUUUCACAAUUAGGGCAAAGGGGGCCAUAUAUAUAGUUCUUGGCUCUUGCAAACCUAAACCUACCAUCAAAGCAAAAAAACAGAAUUUUGCAUAUAGUUGUACCGUGGCAUAAUCAAGAAUCUAGAAUCUAUCCAAUUAUCUUAAAGAAUUUUCACUUUUCCCCAUCUCCUUUUUCUUGAAAUACAAUAAAUUAUUCAUCACAUAUCCAAAUCGCACCACCUUCAUAUCAUCAUUUCCCCCCUAUAUAAACAUUGACAUUUUCAUUACCAUCUCAAAACCAACUCUCUCUAACUAUCUAGCAAUUCGAACUUCAAGAAAAAUCACAAAAUAUAAACAACCCCUAAAAAUUUCAAUAUUUUCAUAUAAAAAAAUUAACUAUGGAUCGUGUAGUGAAGGUGGCAUCACAAAAGGCAGUGGUGAUAUUCAGCAAGAGUUCAUGUUGCAUGUGCCAUGCAAUUAAAAGGUUGUUUUACGAACAAGGUGUUAGCCCUAUGAUUUAUGAGCUUGAUGAAGAUAUCAAUGGUCGUGAAAUGGAGAGAUCUCUUCUCAGGUUAGGCUGUAGCCCGGCAUUUCCGGCCGUGUUUAUUGGUGGUAGAUUUGUGGGAUCAGCCAACACUGUUAUGACUCUUCAUAUCAAUGGUUCACUCAAAAAGAUGCUUAAAGAUGCAGGAGCUCUCUGGCUUUAGUAAUGAAGAGGCUUUGCUAGUAUUGACUCUUUUUUUUUUUGGUUCUAACUUUUAUACUUUAUGUCAAUCUUCCCACCUUUCAUGGCUCUUUAUAUUAGGCCAUGAUCUUCAUGGGAAAUGCCGAAAGUUGAAUGUAAUUUCUGUUUAAAAUGGAACUGCAACAACGUUUAUAAAUGCUAUCAUCUCUUUCUCACGUUCUCCUUCAAAAUUUUGGUCAUGAAAAAUCUUAUUACAAAUUUUGGUCAUAAAAAAAAGAAUUUCGAGUCUUUAACUUUGCAUGCAUGAAUUAAGUAUAAUACUUGAUUUUCUUUACGAAGGAUAAUAUAAACCACACUCUCAUACCAUAUAUAUAUAAAGCUAAUAUAGCAAAAAAGUUCUUUAUUUUGGUGUGUACAAAUAAUUAGAUAAAAAGUUAACCACUUAAAGCUUUAGUGUUAAUUAACUGACUUUCCUCAUGAUUAAAACAAAGUAAUAACGUGAGGGUUAACCAGCAUGAUCUCAUUUUUAAGUUGAAUCACAUUUGUUAUGAGCGCUUUAUCCAUCGAUAAUGGGAUUUUUUGGUGCAAAUCGAGAUUUAUUCGGCUUCCUAUAUAAAUACCAAGCAUCGGGCGCGAAAACAAAAAAACGUGAACAUUCUAAAGUGUGUCACAAACACUUUGAUAUUGAUAUUCGGAGGCAUUUUUCAUUUGCAAAAGUAUGAAGUGACAUUUCAAUAUGUAUGGAGAUGAAACAAUUUGUAACGUCAUUCUGGUGAAUACAAAUAUUCCUCGCAGAUAACUAAAUAAAAUGCCACUUUAAGUUUAUAUUCUCAGUGUCGCCGCAUUAACAUGUUUAGAACCUCUCUUUUUUUUUCUGCCUUCGAAGAUUUUAUUUGGAUGGCUUGUUUGGACAGAUACUAUAUUAUCUCCAGGUCAUCUCGCCUUUUGAAAUUAAUUUUCUUUUAAUCACGAAAAUCAAACAUAUACUUGUUAUUCUAAUUUCUAAGACUACUUUGCUUCAUGCAGAAUAAAAUUGUACAAAUUGGGCGUCUUUCAAUAUGAUUUCCUAGACCCCGAAUCAACGACUGGAUUGAAUAUUUAAAACUAGGUAUUAAGAGAUUAUGUGUAUCAUGAAGGUCAUGAUAUCACGAAGAAGAAAGUAACUCAUAUUAAAGUUAAAGAACAUGUAUGAAGGAGCUGGUACUAGCAUAAAAACAGUAAUAAAAGAUAUGGAGGAUUUUUCCAUCACAGUGGGUUUAUAAAGGGUUCUGCAUUGAACUAACCAACGAAAUAUACAAGUUGAGGUCUCAUGAUGUAUGUUAUUUGUUAAUGAUAUUGUGCUAAUUGACCGAACUAACGAGGGUGUCAAGUGAAAGCUUGAUCUAUAGAGAAACACCUUAGAGAGUAAGGGUCUUAAGGCAAGUAAAGUGAAAUUGAGUACAUGCAUUACGCGUUUAGUUAGCAUGAGAAGAAUGAAGUUGAUGUGAGAUCAGAUGGAAUGGGGUGCCACGCAAUUUAGAUAUUUAGGCACAUUAUUUUAAGAGAAUGAAAUAAUAGAUAAAGAUACUACUCAUAGGAUUAAAGUUAUAUGGUUCAGUUGGAGAAGUGCUACUGUGAUGAUAUGUGAUAAAAGGGUAUAUGUCCACCAAGGUUAAAAGUAAGCUCUAUAGAGAACUAUCUAAUAAGCUAAUGUACGUUUUAUGGUAGUAAAUAUUGAACUGCUAAAAUUAAAUAUAUCCAAACAAAAAUUAUUGUAGAAAUACAAAUACUAAAAUGGACGAACAGUCAUACAAGAUUAAGUAAAAUAGGUGCAAGUAGCACACAAUGACGAUAAAAUGAGAGAAAAUCGCUUAAGAUGGUUUGGUCCUGUCCUGUAUCGACCUACAAAUAUGCUGGUCUAUAAGUGUGAAAAUGGAAAGGUAUUAAAAAGGAACUAAGUAGACCUAAAAUCAUAUAAAAGAAAAUUGUCUCGAAAGACUCUUGAAAUCAACACAGACUUAACUAAAGAUAUAUGGAAAAGAAAAAAAAUACUUAUAAAGUAUUGAAUAUUUUAAAUAGAAAUGUGAGGCCUUUUGGGUAAAAGUGAAUAAAUCUAAUCAUGUUAAAAAUAUUUAUUUGAACAUGCUUAGCCCAACAAUUCACUUGUACGUACGUGGUUUGAGUGGAAAAAGGAAUUUAUUAGCGUGGAUCAUAAGAAUCUAUGGAAGAUAGGAUUUCGGCGGCAGCACAUACAGAAUAUAUAGCAAAGGCGCAUAGCAGAAUUUGAGGUUCGUGUUACCAUGUGUGUGCAAUGAAUGUUCUUGAAACAUUAAUUGUUCUUUUAUUCUUUCAAGCUUAGGAAACAAAUCAUAUCAAAGAUUACAUUCUCAGUAAUUAUUGAUCAGCUAGCAUUUUACUUUUCAUCUAAUAUUUCAAACUAAUUUGAUAUUUUUACCUGUGCCGGUUUUAGAAUAAUAUUAUAUUUUUUCCGAUCCAAGAUACGUAAUUUUUUAGUUGUUUUCAUAUAGAUUAAGAAAUUACCUUUUAACUUAAUUAGCGAUGAAAUUGGCCAUAUUAAUCUUUACUAUCUCUGCACAUAAAUAAACCUAACACAUACUCCAACACUAUUUACUCUAAGGACAAUAUAGGAAAAAAAUAAUUAAUUUAUUUUUAAAAUUUAAAAAAAUUAUUUAUUUUAGAUCACAAAAAAAAAUUAAAAUCACUUAUUGCGGACCGGAGGGAAGUAUCAAUUUACCAAACUAAUUAAAUGAUUAAAUAUUUGUAAAGACAAUCAGCGAUGAUCAUAAAAUAGAACUGAAAUAACAUCGGAAGCGGGAGAAUUUCAAUUAGCUCUUGAAUACACUAGAACAUCCACAAAUUAGACAUGGUGAAUUUUGAGUUGAGUUAAGUUUGGAAAUGUAUAUCUAACUCUAUUUAUAAUGUAUUUCGCAAAAAAAUUUCCAUAUCAAUUAGAACACUAAAUUCUACCAAGCCCGGCCCCUAAUUUCAUGGUUUAAUCUGACAUUGUUUUUAAAUACUACUACAUAGUGAUCUUAUAUGGAUAUCUGUACCUCAAAACUCAGGGGCGGAGAUUGAUGGAAUGUCGGGAGGGGUCCGACCAAAUCCAGUAGCUUUUGUUCGAAUUAUGUAUUUAUACAAAAGUCUAUUAAAAAUGUAUAAACUAUUAAUUUAGAAUGCAAUUACUUAAAACGAUUAAAAUCUCGAACUCAUCAGCUUGAUCUCCUAGCUAUGCGUCUCUGCGUUUCUUAAACUGCAGUGACAAUCUGAGGUCCUUCUCUAGAUCUAUAAUUUUAUUGUUUUUGUUAGAAGUUUCUUAAGGUAAAAGCAAAACAUUCCAAUGAUUGCGUACAAUAGUAGCAUGUUGUAAAUUUUGAUUUUUCAACAACAGUUUUGAAAGAGGAAAGAAAGGUGAUGAUAAAACACUUAUCAUAAAUUAUGGAAAGAUGUUGGGGAAUAAAGUAGGGUGAAGAUCAAAGAUAACUCAUAUUAAGGACAUAUAUACCAAAUUCAAUUUCAACCAGAAAUACCUUAGCUUCCUUUUCGAAUACACAUCAUAUAUAUAUAAGACUAGUUUAUCUACCACGUUAGGUAGAUUUUGAGGUUUGUGAAAAAACAUGCAUUCCAGAGCAUCUUUUAAAUUAGCUUUUCAACAGUGACUUUGUAAUUUAUUCUUCUCAUCAGAAUCCUCAGUUGGAAAAUAACAAAAAGAACUAAAACACUACAAAAUUAACUUAGUAUCACAUAUAUUCUGUAGGGAUGAAAGUAUAAGUCCAAAUACGAACAUGGUCGAACUUAAUUAAUUAGUAGCUUUUACAUAAAUAAUAUGUUUAUAUUAAAAAGUUCAUCAUCUAAAUUUAGAAUCGAUUUCUAAUGACAUGAAAUAGUAGUUUUUAAAUUUAGAGCUCAUAAAGUUAAACUCCUGGCCAUGCCUCUAAUAAUGUGUGAUCAUAUAAGAGAGAGAGUUACAGUAACUAAGCAUUAUAUUCUUUAAGUAUUUUCGCCGCAUGCAAUUUUAACAGGGACACAAGUUUAUUUUUGAGCAUAGUAUAGAGGUCUUAAUAUUUGUCAUAUUCUCAAGCUUUUCUUAAUAGUCCUUGAGAACAGUGGGCAUGCCCAAUACUUUUCUCUCUUUACAAGGUUAUUAAUAUUAUUUUCGUUGUAAUUCACGUAAAUCUAUUUUUUUAUUAAAUUAAAAAAGAAUAAUUAUUUUUUAAAUUUAGAAAUAAUUUAGCUUAAUUUUUUAUUUUAUUUUUAAUAAAAAAAUUUAUUACCAUAUAAAUACUCGGAAACUCUUUUUGACUUGUUUUAGGACUAUAAAUUUAGAAAAAUUUCAUUUUUAAGGAUCUAGUGUCGAGUCAAACAGGUUCACGUAGACUAAAAUGCAGGAAAUAUAACAAAAGAAAAAAGAGCAAACUCGAUAUAUUGAAAAAUUAUUGAAUUUGUAAACAUGAUACCGGUACCGUAGUUGUUGUGUCCUAUAAUUAUCUCGCCCUCCUACUCUUUCUAGAUCAAGAACAUUGUCUAUUCAACUUUUCUGUACGGAGAGUACUAAACUUGCUCUUAGUUUUAAAUAAGGUAAACGUAUUUCAUAAAAAAAUCUAAUACUCUUAUUAUUUGCUUUAUCGUAGAAAGAAUGAAAGCAUUUACGUGAGAAUUUACAGCAGAUAUAUAUUAAUGAAUUAAAAAUUCGUAUGAAUCUGCUUUCGGCGGUUGUUAGUUUAUCAAGCGCCCACCCUUAUUUCCCAAAAGGAUAUAGAGAAAUGUUAAUACAAAUACUGGUCACUGCAUACAUAAAUUAAAAAGCACAAUAAUUCUCUCUCUAGAAACUCUCUCCAUAAUCCAUAUAUUAUAACUGUUGGCUACCUUAUAAGCUUUGUUCAGCGCGUCAGCGCCACGCUCCACCUACAUGCCAGUCUGACGUUAGCCAACCGGCACAUAUAGAUAGUAAAAAAGAUGCUACUGCUUGUGCAAACAACCAUACAGAAUCAAUUCCUAAUAUUUCUUCAUAUGCAACUGCAAUCAUCACCGCUAUUUCUCUACCUCCUCCCUAAAUAAGACACCCAAGAGAAGCUGUUAUUGCUCGACAUAACACACACAAUGGGAUGCUAGCAGUAAUCUUCUACGCUACAGAAUUAUUAUGGGGUUAUGGCUGAGGAAUGUCGGCUCAAUAUUGUGAGUUGUUUCUUGAAACCUAGGCCCCAAAUCCAGAAAUUAGGGCUGCUUUCACAGAACGAUUUCCGAUCAAAAGCAAGGCCAAAAUUGGGAUGUAAGGCAACUACAAUAUCGUCUUAGAGUUUACUAAUGAAGAUGAUUUCAAUUCGAUUUGGUACAGAAGAAUGGUAAAAUUGAUGGGCUUUAGAUAUGGUUUUCAAAAAUGGACCCCAAACUUCGGAUCAGAUGAAGACAUUCCCAUUGUGCCUGCAUGGUCUUUCAUUUAAUGUACUUGGAAUUAUGUUAAACAAAUCUGUAGUGAGGUUGGAACUCACUUGCAUUAGAUGUUGAAACCAAUGGUAAAACUAGACCCAGCAUAGCUAAAGUUCGAGUUGAAAUUGAUUUGCUUAAACCUUUAGUAAAUAGUGUUUUUGUGGGAUCGAAGGAUGAAAAUGCUCCACUCAAUUGCGUCACUCAGAAAUUGAGUAUAAAGGCAUCCCUAAAUACUGUAAGCAAUGCAAGAAACUUGAGCAUAAUCUUAUGAAUUGUAGAGUCAUGAAAAAGGAAAAGAGUUUUAGAGAUAAAGAAAAUAAACAAAGAGGAAGGCUCAACACAAUCAAAAGAAGGCACUAGCAAAGGUCAAAGUAAGAAGAGUGAAGGAAAAGGGGAUUCAAAAGAAUGUUAAUAAACCAACCGAUUAUAACAAGAAAGAGAAGGUUACGCGGCUCAGAACAACAACGAAAGAAACCUUAGUACCAAUGAGGGAACAAAGGGCAACAAAAUAACUAUGGAGACACAACAUAGGAAGGAAGUUGCACUCGACAAUAAAACUCAACAAAGAGGAUAAGGGAACUCAGCAACAAUUGCGGAAAGAAUUAGAAAGAACAAACAGAAAAGUAAGAAGAAACAGAUGCCAAAGAAGAAAAUCAAGAUGAACUUCUACUAUGCUCAAAGAUACAAAAGGAAUAAGCAAGAUAAUGCCUCUAGAAGAUCCUCAAAUUACAACUAUAAAAUCAUAGAGGGGUUAAAUUAUAUAAAUUACAGGUUGAAGCAAAACAAAUAACCAAUACUUAGAGUAAUGAAGUUACCUCUGUGAUUAAGGGAAGCAUUUCUCACAAGCUUUCUAAUGGUAACCAGAUUUCUGCAGAUGAUCUUACACGGGAGCAUACAAGUGGUUACAAUGAGCUGACAAGGAAAAAAAGUCAACAUGAGGUUUUUACUGAUCAAAAAAGAAGAAGAAAAAGACAUUAAAGUGGAAUCAAAUGAUUGCUCUAAUGUAAUUGAGAAGCCGGGUAUAUAAUUAGUUGUUGAGUUAUUUGAAAACUAGGAAGUCUCUAAAGGUAACACAAUGAAAGAAAUUGAUCACAUUAUGCUUGACCCACAUCAAAGCAUGGGAGUACUACAAUAGAAUGAAACACAAAAGACAAAUACUUCCUCUGUGAAGUGAUUACAAAAGAAGGAUACUACCCCUCAUCCAUUUAUCUGAUUAAUACAAUCUUUUGGAAUAUUAGAGGAGUAAGGUCAAGAAGUCUAUCCACAGGCUAAAACAAUUUAUGGACAUCAACAACAUUAUCAUUAUUGCAAUCAUUAAACUAAUAGUUAGCAAAGACAAAAUCGAUGGCUAUAGGAAGCUUCUGGGUUAUCAACAGUGUAUUUCUAAUGAUAACGGGAAAAUUUAGUGCUUAUGGAAAAAUGUCAAUCAAAAAACUAUCAUUGAAUACCAUGAACAACACAUUUCUAUCAAAGUUGAAUAUGGGGCAAAAAAUCUCCCCACUAUCAUAAUAGCUACUUAUGUUAAAUAUACUACUCGGUGUGAGGCCCCCGAAAAAGAUUUCCACCUAAAACCCGAGUCUCAUAGUGCCAAGUUAGGGUUAGGGCUAGGUGUUAGAAAUUCAUAACAAUUCUUCGCGGCGAGCUUCCUUUUGAGUUGAACACUACAUUAAAAAGUCAAGAAAUUUUUUUCCAGAAAAGUACAAUUCUGCGGUCGAGAAUGCGGUCGCAUAUCAGGUAUGUGGACUGCAUAGUUACCACAAAGUGAGUCAGUGUGUUGGUAAAAUUGUGGUCAAAUAUGCGAUCAAAUAUGUGAUCGAAUAACCGAUAUGCAGACUGCAUAAUCACCGCAUAGUUCUCUUGGGAUUUUUUAAGGAGCAGUUCUGCAAUAAAAUAUGUGACCGUAGAACGGUAUGUGAAUCGCAUUUCGUCGCAUACCCAGGUAGAAUGUUCAAAUCUUUAGGAGCACUUUUGCGGUCUAUUCUGUGGGCUGCAUUUCCACUUUACGAUCGCAAAUGUGAUCGCAGAUCCGACUCGGGGCUUCUAUUUUAUAAUUCUUAUAACGCGACCCUAUCCCAUUAAAAACACCCCAAAAGACCAUUUUCGCUUAUUUUUCAUGACCUGGAGAGAGAGAGAGAGAGAGAGAGAGAGAGAGAGAGUGAGUUCUAGAGUGAGGAUGAGUAAUCUCCAUCAAAAUCUUCUCUAACUCCCUGCCCCAAAUUCUUAAAGAUUGUCAAUUGAAGCUACUAGGUCUUCAACCUAAGAGGUAAGAAGUAUACCCUCCUUAAUAAUUUUAAGAUUUCUGUUAAAAUAGGUAAAUAGUGGAUGGGUACAUGGGUAUAAGGCUAGUAAUCUUGCAUGCAUAGGAGAUAAUGAGAUAUGGGGAUGAUAGGAACUAAAAAGAAAGCAAUUGGGAUAUAAAAUGAUAGAAAGUUCUCUCAAAAAGGACCUAAUAUCACAAUGUACCUUUAGUGUUUGAUAAUAUGCUCAAAUGAGCUGGAAUCUUAAUCUCGUAUCUAAUUCUUCGUUUAAUUGCAAAUCUUACACAAUUGAUCGAAGUGCUAAGAGUUCGAAAAAUUUUGUAAGGAUUAAGGAAAGCUAUAUUGAGGUAUGUAUGGCAAAAAUCCCAUCUUUUAGAAAUUGAGCUUCAUCGGUGACUGUGUGAACAUGGUAAGAUUACAGUCGAAUUAUUGCAUUGCUUGUUAUUAUACAUGAGUGGGCGUUGUGACCUUAUAUGUGAGAAAAAUGAGUCUCACAUGAUCAACGUGCGAUCUUGACAACUUAAAAGGGGUAAAGGUAUGAAUUAUGUAUUGAAAUGCUUAGACCUUAAACUGAGAUUGAAGCUGCAUAUAUUGUGCCAUCUAUGUGAAGUCUCAUCUAUGCUUACAAUUUCUAUUUUCUCUUGUGCUCACCUACUGUCCUAAAUUGUAAAAGCUAAUAUUGAAAUUUGGAACGAUUUAAAAUGCAACCUAGUGCCAAAAAAGUAAUGUGAUAAGUUUUGGCCCCAAAUGCCUUUGAAAUGACAUAUGUGAUUAAUGAGAAGGGAAUAACGCCUUGGCAAGGCGGCCUAGCCGAUCGGGCCGAGAUCAGACUCCUCUUAAGAUAGUGGUGGUGCUGUGAAUGAAUUUCGGAAAAAGAGAAAAUGUGAUUGUGGUUGAGGUAUAUGCCUCAAAUGAGACAGCUAGCCGAUCGGGUUGAGAUCAGACUCUGAACAAGAUAACGGUGGUGUUGUGAACAAUGUUGAAUAAUACGAAGUUCCCUAAACUAAAAGCUAUGGAUAAUGAUGUGAAAAUUGCAUGAAACUUUUAUUUGAUAAUGUUGUGAUCAUUUAAUGUGUUUAAGUUGUGCUUGUGAUUUUCCUUAUUAUUGUAUAAAAGUUCUUUCUAAUUCGAUGGUGUUUAGUUAUACAUACUAGUUCUAUUCCAUGGUACUAAUGUCUUAUUUUCCAUGGUCGUUACAUGUUUAAAUGAAUAUAGGUGGCUCUAUAGCGGAUAGUGCCAAUCGUGUGAAGCAGAGCCCAAGAUCUUGGUGAGCCCCUCUCUCCUUCAAGGGGCUAUAUUGCACAACUUUUGAUUGUGGACUUUUACUUUUGAGGUAUAGCUGAGGCCUUGUUGACGGCGUUGUCAUUCUUAACUUCUGUAUCCUUAUAGGCUCCGUAGAUAUAUGUGUGGGUUAUGUACGGGUGCUAGAAUAGGUCUAUGAACUACGUCGUAAUUCUAAACUUAUGUAGACUAUAAAUUGUAACUCUAUGGGAACCUUGGAAACAAGCGUAUCUGCAGUUUAAUGUUGUGCUUUUAAAUGAACUAACAAUGUAGAAUGUUCUAUCUUUCCCCUUCUAAAUAAAUGAAUAAAAGCAUGUUUCUUAAUUCAUGUCUAGUUGGGUAGAAAUUGUCUAAUAAGGUGUUGGGUUCACUCGAUGAGCGUCGGUUACCUCCCGAGGUUGGGGCGUGACACUCUGGAAAGGCGAGAGUUGUGGAGUAUCUUUACGCGUGCCCCUUUUCUUGCAAAAUCGAGUUUCGACAUGUGAAAACUCUUUUAAGGAAUUUGUUAAAAGAGAGAUUCGUCACUUAAUAGGUUUGAGGUGCGUUAGGGCACCUAUUUGCAAAUAAUUCGGGUUUAACCAGUUUGCGCCAUCAAAAAUUAGGUAAGGGCUCAAAAUUACCUCGAAGAGAAUGUGUUAGGCAAUCUUCGAUGUCCACAACUAUGGGUCCCGGCUGAACUCGAAUUAUAUGAAUUAGUCAAUGUGAUCAAAUAAACGGAGAGAUGAGAGAGAGAGAGAGCAGAAGUUUAUUAUAAAGGGGUUUAAACAAAUGGUACAACUAUUCCUGAUUUAGGUAGGAAAAAAGAAAAUGAGUUGGGAAGGGGGGGAGGUCCUAAUAUUUUUAUCCUAAAGGAUCACCUGGUGCGAUAUAAAUAAUACUUCAUAAAUCCCUCCAGAUGGAGUGUUACUCGUAUUAUUCAGCGGGCAUAGACUAUUAUCUCCUUCUACCUGAUUACUAGCUUUAAGUUGUUACGUAAAGUGUACUAGUUCAAUUAUAACUCGUAUCCUAUGCAUGCACUACCCAUCCCGUGGCUACAGUGCAGGAGGCAUUUGGAAAAUUUAUACACCUAACUUAGGUUGUCAAAAUGAAAAAACUAGGUGACAUAUAAAACAAGUUGGACUUCACAUAAAAGCAGUUAGGGACAUAAGUUAGCCUCCACACUUAAACAAUAAAUGCACGCAACAAUUAGGCAUUUGACAAUUCAGAUUUGAGCUGAGUUAAAGCCAUUAAGACCUAUAGACAUGAUUUCUAUGUGAUUUUGGAAUUCAAAAAUGUGGACAGUUUCAAAUGCGAGGUGUUAUUUUAGAGGAAUGUUUUUCUGAAUAACUUUAUAGUUCAAGAAAUCUAGUAUUGCGUACCGAUUUACAAAUUAUAAGUGUUUAGACCUAUAUGCAUGAUAUGUAGGUGUAGUUGGCAGUAAUAAACAUGAAAGAUACUAAAAAUUACUUAUUUUAUCCUAUAGGCAUGCUUUAUAAUAGUGUCAACGAAAUAGAGUUUGAAAGUUUCAUAUUAACUCUUAAAGCAAGUGGGAUUAUCCUAUAGGAAGGAUUACUACAAUUAGCGAUUGAAAUCUGUUUUUAUCUCCUAUAGGCACAUCUCCUAAGUGAUUAAUCAUAACAAACAACACAUUAACCAAUUAAGACCUUAUAAGCAUGACUUCUAAAAUGCAGAUUUGUAAAGUAUGAACUAGUAUAAUCCUAUGGUCAUGGUAUCUAGUGAAUAUGCUGCAAUUGAAAUAUUUAUAGUUUUAUUUUCUAUAGGCAUGGUAUCUACCAAUCAUGUAAAAGCACAAUAAGUGGAAUGAAUUGAACAUUAAGGUCAUAUAGGCAGGUUGGCUAACACACAUAGGAACAUAAUAUGUUCGAACAAAUUAAAUACAUAUAGGCAGAAUUUCUAUCUGUUUCAUGCAAACAUUAGAAUAGACUUAUUUUCCCAAUUUUACUAACACCCCAAUUGUUAUUACAUCAUUAUAAUAGGACCAAUGAAUGAAAUAAAUUAUAAAGUCACAAAAUGACUAUAAUAGGCUUAAGACAGACCCAAAGUAUACCCGGUCAUGCAAGACCUUCAAUUCCAAGUCCACAUAGUUCACAACAGCCUAGAAGUCCUAGCCAGAAUCCAAUAGCCAUCAAAGAUUCAAAAAAUAGCCAUGUACACAAACCCAUUGGCUUAUUCAAUAAGUAGAAAGGGGUAAAGUUGAAAAAUAAGGAAAAUGGCAAAAAACCUUGAACCUUAGUGCAUUAGAGUUCCCAAGGGCUUCAAGAACUCAAGGUUGUGCUCACACUAGGGAGCUUAAUAGAGGAUAUUCAGGGAUAGUGCAGGUUUCAAUAUCAGGAGGAACAGUCAAAGACCCCAAAUCCUAGUGUGUCAGAGUUUACAAGGGCCUCAAAUGGACCCCGAGAAGUGCUCACACUAGGGAGGUUAGUAGCAAGAGCCUUUAUACCCUUAGCUUUCAGCUGAAUUUGACUGAGAACUCAAAAGAAUCCAGAUAACAAGUGAAAGAGAAUAAACUAAGGUUGACGGAUAGCACUGAAGGAUACAAACAUAAUCAAGUUGAGCACAUAGAGCAGAUAAUAGAACAUUCUUAGGUUUCAAGACAGACUUAACCAAAGUUUUAGAAGAAUAAGUUUGACAAUUAAUGCCUAGGUAGUCACAUAUUAACAGAACAGAUUUACUAGAUUGAUGUACACAGACUCAUAGUAAGAAAAGGUUCAAAUUAUGCUAAGUAUAGAUUAUAUUAAUAGGAAACAUAAUUUAGACAGUGUGAGAACAUGUCAUUACAAGAAUUAAGUAAGUAAAGCAUAAUUGAUAACAAAAUUAAACAUCAAGGAGAGGCUAAAGUAUGUCAGGAAGUUGCAACACAUAGGAUAGAUAACCCUGAAAAGAAUCUUGUUAACUCAAAUUAGGUUUAUGCAUGUCUCAGAUUACCAACAUAAUGAAGCCAAAGGUUAAAGAGAUCUAAAAAUUGCAGUAAAGCAAUCAAAAUUGCACAUAAGAACAAACCAGAAAACACAUUAAGCUACAAUCUCUAGAAGGGAAAACAUAUGCAGAUGACAGGUAAAUAGGAAUGAAGUGACAAAAGUCCAGCAACUGACCAGUUAAGCAAAAAAUAAGAAAAAUUAAAGUCACAGUAUUCUGAAUAUCAACACAGAGCAAGAACCCUAAAUUUUUUGCCUUGACUUUCAGCUGACCAAGAACAAGAAUAUAGAACAAAAGUAUUUAGAGAACAAAGAGCAGGAACUUCAGUUUUAGUAAACAUUCACGAUCCAAGUCUUUCUAAAAAGGAAUGGAGGAAGGAUUUAUAUAGUAGUUGAAAUCAAAACAAGUAAACAAGGAAACACUGUAACAUCAAACGUAAAUAAGGAAGCAAUAUGAUGCAAAAAUCAAUAAAUUCAUAUUUAGGAAAAAAUAGGUAAACCCUAGUUUUAGGGAAAACAAAAAUCAACGGAGUAUAUGUAAAAACAGUAGCACAAGAUGAAUAUAGACACAAAUAAUACUAAAAUCAGAGAAUCAAACCUAUUUUGGCUCGAUUAAAAGAGAACUGAAAACCCUAAUUUAGGGUAAGUAAGAAUCAACAUAAGAUAUAGAAAUAUUUGUACUUACAAUAGAGCACAUAAUGAAUAUAGAUAGAAUAAUAAGAAAAGUCAAGGAACUAAAAUUUUGGUUCGAUUCUUAUGAUAUAUGCUUGCCAUCUUUACGCAAGUAGUAUAAAGAAGGACCCGGUACCAGGGAGAGAUCAUAUAUGGCAAGAAACGACCAUGGGAUCCCAUGUUAAGCGGGACUAGGAGAGGGAUUUGAGGGAAAGAUGGCUAGUGUUUAGAUUUGAGAGAUGAAAGAAAUCAAGAGCAGCGGACAGUGAGAAAUGGCUAGAGUUUGGGGCGGGUUAGGUUAAUUAAAAGAGAUGGUGUAAUGUGGGCCGUUGAUCUUAGAGAUCAACGACCAUGAUUUAAAAGGGGUUUUGGGUUGGGUGGUUAAACGAGUUGUGAUCACUUGUGGGGUUUGGGUUAAUUGAUCUUGGGCCAGGGGUAAUUGGGCUAUGGUUUGUGUUAUUUAGGUCCAAAAAGAGGUGAGAUUUAGGCUGUUAGUUAAAUACUCCAUUUUUAGAAGAAAAAUAAUUUAUAAAAUAAUUAAUAAACAAAAAAUAUUAGCUACGCACUAAAAUAAUUUAAAAUAAUUACUUAACAUCAUAAAAAUAUAAAAAGAUACUUUUUACACAAAUACCAUAGUUUUACAUGAAUAUAAGCUAUUAUUGUAAUAAUAUGCAAUUAGCCUAAAAACACAAAUGUAAUUAUAAACAUAUAGUAAAAUAUUGAAAAACAUACAUAUUGGUAAAAAUAAUAAGUUUUGACUAUGACAUGUAAUGAGGCAACGCAACAUGAGAAUAGUGAUUAAGAUGAAAAAGAUGAGAUACCCGAGGAAAUUGUCAAGGAAGUUGAAACGUUUGAAAUAAGCCUAAGUGUAAUCUAGAUGAGAUCAAAGUAGUAAAUUUGGGAGAUGUCGAGACCAUCAAGGAGAGCCGCACCAGCAUUCACUGGUCGCCAACAGUAAAGGAAGAGUAAAUUUGCUUUCUAAAAGAAUAUGAGGAAAUUUUUGCAUGGUCAUACGACGAUAUGACCGAUUUGAGCACAUCUAUAGUUGCUAACAAGUUGCCCAAUAAUUCCAUGCGUCCUCCAGUCAAGCAGAAACUCUGAAAGUUCAAACUGAACAUGAGCCUGAAAAUCAAGGAGGAAGUUACCAAGCAAAUCAAAGCCAAAGUUCUCAGGGUGGUUGAAUAUCCAACCUGGUUAUCUAACAUUAUGCCGGUUCAGAAGAAAGAUGGGAAGGUUAGAGUAUGUGUUGACAAUUGGGAUCUAAAUAGAGCAAGUCCCAAGGUGACUUCGCGCUGCUGAAUAUACACAUCCUGAUUGACAAUUGCGCCAAGCAUGAACUCCAAUCCUUUGUAGAUUGCUUCGUAGGUUAUCACCAGAUUUGGAUGGAUGAAGAAGAUGCAAAGAAGACAGUUUUUAUUACACCAUGGGGUGUAUAUUGCUACAAGAUGAUGUCAUUACGUUUGAAGAAUAUUGCGGCCAUGAGAGCCAUGACAACCAUCUUCCAUGAUAUGAUAUACAAGGAAAUAGAGGUGUAUGUGGAUGAUGUAAUUAUCAAAUCCAAGAGGGUCGCAGAUUACAUAAGAGACUUGAUGAAGUUCUUUGACAGGCUAAGGAGGUACAACUUGAAACUGAACCCCGUAAAAUAUGCAUCCGGGGUUCCCGUAGGAAAAUUAUUGGGAUUCAUUGUUAGUCGUCGAAGGAUCGAACUGGAUCCAUCUAAGUCAAAGCUACUCCGGAGUUACCGCCACCUAAGAGCAAAAAUGAUGUGAUGAGCUUCCUAGGACGUUUCAACUAUAUUAGUGGCUUCAUAGAACGGUCCAUAGUCAUAAGUAAACCCAUCUUCAAGAUGUUGAGGAAAGAUGUUGAAACAGGCUGGACAGAGGAUUGUCAGAAAGUUUUUGACAAGAUCAAGGAAUUUCUGUCCACACCACCAGUUCCAGACCCGCCAAAACCAGGAUAACUUUUUCUUCUCUAUCUAUCUAUAUUAGACGGCGCCUUAGUAUAUGUUGGGACAACAUGAUGAGACAGAAAUAAAGGAGCAAGCCAUAUAUUACAUGAGGAAGAAGUUUACACCUUACAAAGCACGGUACUCUCUGCUCGAACGCACUUGCUGUGCUUUGACCUGGACAACCCAGAAAUUGAGGCGCUACUUAUGUGCCUACACUAUAUACCUCUUAUCCAUGAUGGACUCUCUCAAGUAUAUACUCCAAAAACACAUGCCUACUGGGAAGUGGGCUAAAUGGAAGAUACUAUUAAGUGAGUUCGAUAACGUCUACGUAACUCAAAAGGCGGUCAAAGGGCAAGCAUUGGCAGAUCACCUUGCUAAAAAUUCAGUAGGAGGAGAAUAUGAACCUUUGAAAACGUAUUUUUCUAAUUAAGAAUUUUCAUUCAUAUGAGAGGACAUUACCGAAGCAUAUGAAGGUUGGAGGAUAUUCUUUGAUGGAUCUACAAAUUUAAAAGGAGUGGUCAUUGGAGCAGAUUUGGUAUCAGAAACGGGUCAGCAUUAUCUGGUAUCUUCUAAACUCAUAUUCCAAACAACAUGGCGGAAUAUGAAGCAUGUAUUCUAGGACUCAACAUGGUAGUCAACAUGAACAUUCAAGAGUUGCUGGUGAUCAGAGAUUCAAAUUUGCUUGUACAUCAAGUACAAGGAGAGUGGGCCACCAAGAACUCCAAGAUAUUGCCAUAUCUGAACCAUGUGCAAGAAUUGAGAAAGAGGUUCACAAAGAUAGAAGUCAAACAUGUGCCCAGAAUUCAAAAUGAGUUUGCCAACAUAGUGGAAGCCUUAUCAUCUGUGAUACAACAUCCAGAUAAAAUUAUAUUGAUCCCAUUCUGAUAUAAAUCCAUAAUCAGUCGGCAUAUUGGGCUUAUGUUGAAGAAGAAGCAGAUGGAAAGCAUUGGUUCCAUUCCAUCAAAGAAUACUUAUUGAAAGCAGAAUACCCGGAAGAUGCAAAUCGCACUCAGAAAUGCACGCUCCGGAGAUUGUCAAAUCACUUCUUCCACAGUGGAGGAUACUUGUACAAAAGAACUCCGGAUUUGGGUUUACUAAGGUGUGUUGAUGAAAGGAAGCUUCUAAGCUACUUGAGGAUGUGCAUGCUUUGACUUGCAGCCACACAUGAAUGGUUUUAUCUUGGCUAAAAAGAUACUCAGAUUUGGCUACUUUUGGAUGACCAUGGAGACAGAUUGCUUCCAGUAUGUCCGCAAAUGCUUUCAAUACACGUGCAUGCCAAUACGAUAAAAGUGCCAAACAUGAUCAAUGCAACAAGCUCACCUUGCCCAUUCAUCGCCUGGGGAAUAGAUGUUAUCGGUCUAAUUAAGCCCACUGCUUCCAACGGAAACAUGUUUAUUUUGGUCGCCAUUGAUUACUUCACAAAAUGGGUAGAGGUCGCAUCAUACAAAGCUAUAACCAAGAAAGUCAUUGCAGAUUUUGUCAAGGAUCGUAUUGUUUGCCAAUUCAGAGUUCCCUAGUCCAUUAUUACUGACAACGCCUCCAAUCUCAAAAGUGAUCUAAUAAAAAGCUAUAUGUGAAUCUUUCUGUGACCACCCAAUGGGGUCAUCACCUAUUUAUUUUUCAUUCUGUACAUCCGAGGCCUUAAAACCACCUCUCAGGUUACCUCGAUUUACGUCUGCAGACCCGGCGCAUAGCUGAAAAGCUUAAAUAUGGAUACUGUGAGAAAAUGCUAAAUUUUGAUAUUAAAUUGAACAAUUUUGACUUUGGUCAACGUUUUGGGUAAAUGGACCUGGACUAGUGAUUUGACGAUCCCGGAUGAUCCGUAGGAAAAUAUGGGACUUGAGCAUAUGCAUGAAAUUGGAUUUCGAUGUCCCGAGUCUGAUAAAUGAAUUUUUAUGUGAAAUAUUUUUCUUGGAAUAAUUAAAGAAAACGGAAAAAAAAUGUGAUUAGAAGACUGGGGUACUGGGCCCGUACUUUGGCUCCGGUUCUCGAUACAAGUCUUAUAUAUGAUUGCAGCACUAUCUAUUACGUUUGGUUGAAAACGGGCGUCGUUUGACGUGUUUCAGACCCGAAAUGGGAAUUUUAUGUCCUAUGAAAAAACAUUUGGAAGAAAAUCAUUAUUUUUGGGGCCUUAUCCGAUGUAUGUGAUGUUAUUUGGCGAUUUGAUCAUCCGGACAAGUCCGUACGAUGUUUUUGAAGUGGUGUGUAUGUCUUGUUUGAAGCCCCGAGGCUCGGGUUAGUUUUCAGUAGGUUCCGGGAGGUCUUAGACUUAAUACACCAGAUAUUGCAGGUUGGGUGCAAGCUGGAGGUUCCAGCGCGGCCACGGUCGUGAUCGCGCGGUCCGCGACAUGAGCCACGGGGCCGCGUUCGUCCUCGCGCGGUUUGCACUGCCCACUUCAGAGAACCUGCAGUCUUCUGUUACUCUAGCGCGGCCGCGGUCAUCCUUGCGCGGUCCGUGCUGGAGGCUUAGGGAGUAUAAAUACACGGGAUAUUUCCAGCUAUAUCUCACUUUUCAAAAACCAAAAACCUAAGAGGCGAUUUUCUAAGCAAUACUUCUUCUUCAAAGCAAUUGGUAAGUGGUUCUAACUCAUUUUCUUCACUCCUUAACAUCUUUUAACAUAAUUUCAACAUCAAAUCAAAGUUUUUAAUGGGAAAAUUUGGGUAUAUUGAGUAGGACCUAGGGUAUUGCAAAACUGAGAGUUGGACCUCAAUUCGAGGUUCGAUUUCAAAACUAAUCACACAAUUGGAUUGUGGGGGAAUGGGUAACCAGAUUUUAGUUCGUACAUCGGGUUCUGACCACGUUGACCUGAGGGGCAUUUUGGUCAUUUUAACAAAAGUUUCAUCUUAGCUUUAAAUUAAAUAGUAGAAUUAGUUGCUUGAGAUGUUAUUUACAAGAUGUAAUUGAAAUGAAUAGAUUUAGGCCAUUUGGAGUCGGAUACUCGUGGCAAAAAAUAGAUUCCAAGUUGAUUUUUUUUGGAGCCGAUUGAGGUAAGUGGCUUGUCUAACCUUGUGUGGGGGACCUUUCCCUAGGAUAUGUUAUUUGGUAAUUGAGCGCCUUGUACGUGGGUGACGAGCGCGAGCUUGAGCUAAUUGUUGGAAAAUCCGAUUUUUACUUUAGAUAUGGAGAUUGAGUUUCUUUUGUACCUACUUACCUUACUUGCAAUUACAACUUGUGUUAGAUGGGAAGGAGAUGUUUUGUCAUUUUGCUUUCCUACUUGCUUAAAUUUCCUUAACGGCACUGCGUGAAACUGUUAGGCUAGAAUUAUCUGUUGUUUGUAUUCUUGUACCUCAUUGUGAAUAUUCUCUGAUUGUGGUUGCGCAUAUUUACUUUGGGACCAUGGGUUUGAUUCCCAGGAGAUCCCCCUGCAUAUUUACUUUGGGACUACGGGUUUGACUCCUGGGAGAUCCCCCUGCAUAUUUACUUUGGGACUACGGCUUUGAUUCCCGGGAGACCCCCCUGCAUAUUUACUUUGGGACUACGGGUUUGAUUCCCGGGACAUCCCCCUGCACUUGAUAUGUUUUGGACUGAGGGUGCGAGAUACCAAGAGAUCCCUGGCACAUGAGUUUAUAAGAUAUGAGGAUACCAAGAGAUCCUCGGGAUACCAAGAGAUCUUUAGCGUAUAUAAUGAGGAUACCAAGAGAUCACCGGUUAUUAUUUCCUGUUGUGAGUAGUGUUCCUUGUAUUAUUUCGUUCCAUUUUUCCUAUUGUUGUUUCCCUUAUUUAUCCUGUAUAGAUUCUCGAUGUAGAUUUUACAUAUGCUGUUUUUCCUUAUCUCAUCAUAUAUUAUAGUUAUCUUAGUAGGUCCUUGACCUUCCUCGUUACUACCCAGCCGAGGUUAGGCUUGGUACUUACUGAGUACCGCUAUGGUGUACUCACGCCUCUUCUGCGCAUGUUUUCCAUGUGCAGAUCAAGGUACCUCAUCUCAGGUGCACUAUUACCGAGGCAAAGAGAUCUAUCAGAUACUCGAGGUAUAUCUUCAUUGUCCGCAGACCGAAGAGUUUCCUUCCUAUUCUAUCUUGUGGUUUGCUAGCUUGUUCUUAUUUAUUUCCAUUGAUGUAGACAUUUCUGGAGUUAGAGCUAUACUAUAUACUUUCUAUAGCCUGUGUUGCCCGUGAGAUUCCGGGUUUUGGGAUUCUGUUUCAUAAUUACGAUGUGAAGUGUAUGUGCCAAGCGGUAAAUUAUAUACAUUUACUUAAGUUACUUAGUUCUUAAGUUAUUAUUGUCGGCACUGUUAGGCUUACCUAGUCCUCAUGACUGGGUGCUGGCAUGACGUGUUCACGGAAGGUGAACUAGGGUUGUGACACUUUCAAAAUCAAGCACAAAAAUUUCACAUCCUAUAGCCCUCAAAUGAAUAAAGCGGUAGAAGCCGCCAACAAAAACAUCAAAAAGAUACUAAGGAAAAUUGUAGAGAACCACAAACAAUGGCAUGAGAAGUUACCCUUUUCCCUAUUGGGGUACCACACCACGGUUUGCACAUGAACUGGGAAACUCCCUACAUAAUGGAUUAUGGUACCGAGGUUGUCAUCCCAGCCAAGGUGGAGAUUCCUUCUUUAAGAAUCAUACAGGAAGCUAAACUUAGCGAUGUAGAGUGGAUAAGGAGUCUCUAUGAACAAUUGACCCUUAUCGAUGGAAAAAGGAUGAACUCAGUAUGUCAUGACCAACUUUAUCAGAGCAGAAUGUCCAGAGCUUUCAACAAAAGGGUCAAACCAAGACAGCGCACCAGGGCAUCUGGUAUUGAAGAAAAUCUUCCCGCAUAAAGAUGAAGCCAAAGGUAAAUUACCUCCCAACUGGUAAAGUCCAUACAUGGUUCAUAGGGUUCUAAUAAGAGGAGCAUUCAUACUUGAAGAAAUGGAUAGAGAAAUCUGGCCAAAACCAAUUAAUUCAGAUGCAAUCAAGAGAUACUACGCUUAGAUUAUGUACAUUUCCUCGUGUGAUAUAACUGAAUUACGCUUGACCUGAUUCCCGUUUAAAAGGGGAUACAUAGGCAGCCUUAUAGGUUCGGUCAUAUUAUAAUAAAAUUAUUCCCCCAAGAUCAUAAACUGGUGCAAAAUUUUGAGGAGGGUCCUCAAAAUUCCAAAGCAAGUCCGCAAACGGUUAAAGAUCAUCUACCAAACAAGGGGUAGAAUUUUGAGAAGAACCCUCAAAAUUCCACUAUGAGAGAGAUGAAUUGCUUUUCAGAUGUGUUACAGUCAUUAGUUCAUCAAAAUUACAUGAUCUGUCAAUAAAUUUCUAAAACAACUCUAUUUUUAUCAAUAAUUGCAUAUUUUCAAAAACUCUAUUUCCGUAACAGAAGCAUGAACCAACCUCCCCCUCACAAAACUUACUAUUUUUCUUUGAAUGCAGGCACAUCUGACGUAGCAAUGGCGUCCACAAAUAUAUACACGUAAUAAGAUCUCUAUCAAUUAGGUCAUCCGACACCGAAUAUAUCUCCAUUUAAGACAUAUACUACUCUUAUUUGCUAGCCGUUCUUUGCAUAGGACUAAACCCUGUCCCACAUAUCUACAUGAGGCUAAUACCUUCCUCCCUAUCUGCAUGAGGCUAUCCAUGCCUCCAUAUUUGCAUGAGCGUAAUCCCUGUCUCUAUAUUUUCAUGAGGAUAUUUGCCUCCACAUUUGCAUAAGGCUAAUCACUGCUUCUCUAUCUGUAUGAGGCUAAUCUUAACCUCCUUAUUUGCAUGAGACUAAUCCUUUCCUCCAUAGUUUCAUGAGUCUAAUCCCUGUAUCCAUAUUUGUACGAGGUUAAUCCUUGCCUUCAUAUUUGCAUGAGGCUAAUCCUUGCCUCCACAUUUGCAUGGGGCUAAUCCCUGCCUCCAUAUUUACAUGAGGCUGAUUCUCGCCUCGAUAUUUGCAUGGGGCUAGUCCUUGCCUCUAUAUUUGCAUGAGGCUAAUCCCUGCCUCUAUAUUUGCAUGAGACUAAUCCCUGCCUCCAUAUCUGCACCAUGAUAAUCCUUGCCUCCUUAUUUGCACGAGGCUAAUCCUUGCCUCCGUAUUUGCACGAGGCUAAUCCUACGAACCAACCUCCCCUCACAAAACUUACAUUUUUUCUUUGAACGUAGGCACAAUUGGCUUAACAAUAGCAUUCGCAAAACGUGUGUACACAAAGAUAAUUUACUAUCAAUCAGGCCAUCAGACAUCGAAUACAUCUCUAGCUAAGACAUUCACUACUCUUAUUUGCUACUCGCUUUUUUCAUAGGACGAAUCCUUGUCCCCCCAUAUUCACAUGAGUCUAAUCCUUGACUCCAUGAGGUUAAUCCGUGCCUCCAUAUUUACAUGAGGCUAAUCCCUACCUCCAUCCUACAUGAGGCUAAUCCUUGCCUCCGUAUUUGCAUGAGGCUAAUCCUUGCAUUUAUAUUUGCAUGAGGCUGAUCUUUGCCUCCACAUUUAAACAAGGCUAAUCCUUGCCUCCCUAUUUGCAUGAGGCUAAUCCAUGCAUCUAUACUUGCAUGAGUCUAACCCUUUCCUUCAUAUUUGCAUGAGGCUAAUCCCUGCCUCCAUACUUGCAUGAUGCUAAUCCUUGCAUCCUUAUUUUCAUGAGUCUAGUCCUUGAGUCCAUGAGGCUAAUCCAUGCAUCCAUACUUGCAUGGGGCUAAUACCUACCUCUCUAUUUGUAUGAGUCAAAUCCUUGACUAUACUCGCAUAAGGCUAAUCCCCGCCUCUAUAUCUGUGUGAGGCUAAUCCCUACCUCCAUAUUUGCAUGAGGUUGAUCAUUGCCUCCACAUUUGAAUGAGGCUAAUCAUUGCCUCCCUAUUUGCAUGAGGCUAAUCCCUACCCCCAUACUUGCAUGAGGCUAAUCCCUGCCUCCCUAUUUGCAUGAGUCUAAUCCAGACUCCACACUUGCAUAAGGCUAAUCCUUGCCUCCUUAUUUGCAUGAGGCUAAUCCUUGCCUCCCUAUCUGCAUGAGUCUAACCCUUGUCUCCAUGAGGUUAAUCCUUGACUCCGUAAUUGCAUGAGGCUAAUACUUGCCUCCAUACUUGCAUGAGUCUAAUCUUUGACUCUAUGAGACUAAUCCCUGCCUCCAUACUUGCAUAAGGAUAAUCAUUACCGCCCCAUUGGCAUGAGACUAAUCCUUGCCUCCAUACUUACAUGAGUCUAAUCCUUGACUCCACUUUUUCUUGAUUCCAAUCCCUGCCUCCCUGUUUGCACGAGUCUAAUCCUUGACUCCAUAAACCUAAUCCCUGCUUCUACACUUGCAUGAGGCUACUCCAUGUCUGCAUAGGACUAAGCAAUGUCCCUAUUUGCAUCAAUAUUGCUCUAUUUCUAUGUACUUUAUUCGUUUUUUAAUCGAGCUAAGCUCUUCCCUCUAUUUCACAAGACUAAUCAUUGUCUUGAUAACAUCAUGACUAUUGCAUAUGAUGGGUUGAAAUAUCGCCAACCUAUCUAAAUGUGUCAUAGUCUAAAGGCAUCAUCCUUAUAGCUGGAAGACACCAUUCCAUGGCCAUAGGAUCUCUCAAAUUUGUAUAUCAUUAUUCAAAGGCAUCAUGGUUCAGAGGCACCAUCUUCAUGGCCCGAGAAUAUCAUUUCAUGGACUAUGAAUCCCUCACAGAACAAUUCAUGGCCCAGGACAUCAUGGUCUGAGGACAUCAUCUUUAACCGUCCGAAGACAACCUUCAUGGUCCAAAGGGAAUUUGCAUCAUGUUUAAAUUUUUCACAAAUACAUAUUUGUAGCACCUUUUAUUUACAUGUAACUAGUAAGGAACCUCUAUCCUAGUAGGAGCAAUCUCGAUCCAGUUCCCUCUAACCAUCCCGAGUUUUAGCCGCUUACCGUAGCCGAUUCGACAUCGCAUGUCCGUUCUUGCAAUAAUUUUAUUAAAAUAUUCCGCAGAUAAAUCCAGAACUACACAUGGCCUGAUUUCUGUAAAACCAAAGAUAUGUAGGCAGCUCGAAGAUCGAAGUCCAACCCCUGUUUUACAAAGUAUAUUGUCCUUCAAAAUUGGCCAUUAUUUCUUUACCCAAAAAAUCUUUAAUUCUUUCUGGAUAAAGAGGGCCAGCUAUUGAUAUCCAAUUUUUUCUUAUAUAUUAUUAAUAUGCAUAAAUACUUUCAAUAUAGCACAUACAUGUAUAUAUAAGUAUACACAAGGUUUUUAUCAUUUUUCUAUAUUUUUAAAGAUUUUAAAUUGAUUUAUUUCCUUCCUUUUUUCUAAUAAAACUCCCAAUAAUUAUCCCUCAAAUUAUUUUGUGGUAACUCAGUCGUCGAAAUUCUAUAUUUUUCUACAUGUAUGCCAAAAUAUUUUUUUAAAAUAUUUUUAGUGUAUUUUUAUCAUUGCACUUUGCAUUUUUAAAGCUAAUAUGCAUAUAAUUAAAAUAUUAGCCUUAUUAAUAUACAAUUAUGUUUGAUAUACAUAAAAUGAUUUUCUCUAUUUUAAAAUAUUAGAUAUCUAUUUUAAAUCAUUUUAGUACACAAAAUUAUUUUUUAGAAAUUGUUUGUUAUUUGUUAUAAAUUAUAUAGGUUUAUAUUGGCAAUUUAAUACAUAGCCAUAUUACAUUUCGAGUUUAGCCUUAAUUUUAACUCAACCCCAGCCCAAUUCCUAUUCUUAUUACCCAACCCAAACCCUAAACCACACCUACCCGACCCAGAACCAAUUAAAUCAUGGUUGUUGAUCUGAAAAAUCAACAGCCCGUAUUGAUUCUUGCCUUUUUUAAUCCUAAGCCACCCCCAACCCUAAUCAUUCCCAUAAUCCGCCGCCGUAAGAUCCUCUCCUCUCUCAGUAACUCUCAACAAAACCCUAGCCCUUCAACCGCCUACCUCUCUCCUCUGAUCAUCUCUGGUGAUCUCCCAUCGUCUCAUAAGCCUUAAAUGACUUCUCUUAUGCCAUUCCUACCUUCUCUAAGGUCUUUAAGGGCCCAUGUCCAUGCCAACUUCCAUUUAUGAUUCAUCACUUGUGUGUUCUUGGCUUCUCCAGUGUGAUUUUGAGAAAAAUCAUGUUGUAUUCUUUAUGAUCCUUGGGAUUCUAGACGGGUUCUUUCACCUCUAUAUGGGUUUCUUCUGAAACCCUAGUUUCUGCCUAUAUCUCCUAGGUAUGUAUAGAUCGUGGACAAUUUGAGUUUGUUUCAUUCAUUUUUUAAACUUUCCUUGGAAAUCUUUUACAAGAAUCGCUGAUUUUAAGUGUUUUUCACCUUCUUCUAAAAAUUAGGGUUUCGGAACUUCUUUUAAAAAUUUGUUUAACUGAUUAUUUGUGCUUAAACUUCUAUUUCUUGCAUAUCUUUGACUGAUUCUAUGAUUUGACAACCUCUUCAACUCGUCUAUUUUGAAAGCCCUAAUUUUCUAGGUUUCGUCGUUUGGUUAUGUGUAUUAGCAUGACAGAUCAUUUCUAGUUUGAAUUUCUAUGACUAUCUUGCCUCGAUUACAUUCCUAUAAGUUUUUUUCCUAACUGUUAUCACUUAUAUGUACUUUUCUUCACCUUGACUAUCCAAGACUUGACUCUUUUCAUUAGUGUUGUUUAACCUUCGUGUUAGCUAUGUCUAGUUAUUCUUAUCUUACUCUAUUUAUAUGAUGAACACUGAAUUAUGACUUUCUCUUUGAUUGAUUCUGGAUUCCCUAUUUCAUGGUUUAAUUGGAAGGCCAUCUUUUAAACCUUCGAUUUAUACCUUUUUUAUUCAAAUUAAUUGAUUCGCCUACCUUGUAUGCAUUGUAUCUUAUUCCUACUAACUAUCACCUUAAUUAGAGUUUUCUGAACUUAGCCCUAAUUGUUUACCCUCUAUUUCCUUAUUGGUCGUACAUUAAUUUCUUUCCUUAUUUGUUACUUGUUCUUACCAUUUGAACUAAUUCCUUUAACUUAUGGGAGUGCUUAUAUUGAUUUUGCUCUAAUAGAUUCUGAGUUCCAUAAUUAUGAUACUAUUGUGGUUCUUGUCGUAUUUUACCUAGUUUCAAACUACUAUAUAUACAUACUCUCUCAUUAACGCAAACACGUUGGUUCAAAAACUCUCUCUUUCACACUAAAAGCUUUCUGCUCUCUUUUGUGUUACUUACUACACUCUAAAGUCAACCGACUGCAAGCCAAGGCUAACUACUGGGUUCUUUUUCACUUUGUGUUCACUAUCCCCUUACGAGUAUGUUAUAAUCUCAAUCCAAGUCCCAAAACAAUAAGCUUCUCUUAUUACUUCAAUUCGCCGUGUUUCUAAUAUUCUUCUAUCUAUGGUUUUGUUGCUCAGCCUGCAAUUAAUAUUUCUACUUCAUAGUCUUCUUUGUUGCAUGCUAUAUACCCCCUUAUGAUCCCCGUCUAGUAUGCCUCAAUAUGACUAUGUUUCUCUGAUCCCUGGCAUUCACUUUCCUGUGUGAAGUAAUUGGCUAUUCUAAGCCUAUUGAUUCUGUAUUAGCUCUAAACUUCAUGCUAUAUUUGAAAAGUCUUGACCCAUUUUAAGGCUCCUCUGAUUCUGUACCUAUGUGCAUCUGUGCUUGCUAUGUGACAUAUGCUUAUCCCAAAACCGCUAUUACCCCUAAGUGUAUAUGUGCACCUGUUUGACUCCAUGUAUUGAAGUGUUGAUGAACUUCUUCUAGUUCUGUAUUUGGUUUGAUUAAUUGUUAAUAGCCUUACCUUUUUUUAAAUUGUCUUAUUUAAUAACUCCCUAUGAGUUGUCUUACAAAAACUAUUUCAACCAAAUCUUUUCUCAACAUUGUUUCCUACUGAAACCUUUCAAACUGUGUCAAGCACUUUCACUCUACUCCUAAGUCACAAGGUUCUGCCCCCUCCAGUGUAUGUACUGCCUUGGGAUCCUCUUGAGAACGCUCUAAACUCUAGCACACUGCACUUACUCAAUUUGGUUACAGAGUAUAAGUGUGAGCACUACCCGGGAUCCUUGAGAUCCUUAGGGAACUUUGACACACUUAGACAAUAAUAUUGUCUAUAAAAUUGGCAUUUGAGGCUAUUAGAAGUAUUAGUAAAUCACUUGGGCUUGCUUCAUGUUCCCUAUAAUGUAACUUCUUGUUUUUCUUUUUAUCUACCUAUGUAAUUCAUUCAUCUGGUUUGUAAUAAUUUAAGAACAAAUAUUUGGGUGACUAGUGGAAAAGUGUGGGUAGCUACAUAUUUGUGGGGUAAUACGGGUAGAAACCAUGCCUAUAGGAAUUUAUAUUUGUUGUGUUUUCCUUACCAUAUCAGAAAUCAUGCAUAUAGGUCUCAAGUGGUUCCAAUAAUAGAAAUCAUGUCUAUAGGUCUUAAAAUCAACUUCACAAGUAGAAACCAUGCCUAUAGGGUUUUAUAUUUUGCUAUGUUAGAAAUCAUGUUCAUAGGUCCCAAGUGGUUCCAAUAAUAAAAUCAUGUUUAUAGGUCUUGAAUCAAUUUCACUAGUAGAAACCAUGCCCAUAGAAUAUGAUUUAUUUAAACUUCUAUAUUUACAUGUGUUUUCAUUUAUUAUUAUGCUUACAGGUUUCUAAUAUCAGCUUUUAAUCAUUAGAUACCAUGCCUAUAGGGAACAACAUUAGAAAUUCUGCAUAUCGAUCUAAAUUCAGUUUAGUUAAAAUAAGUCAAUCUAGUUAAGUGGUUUGUUUUUCUUGAAAUGAAUUCUUUCAAAUACUGCCCUAAUGUAUCACUAAAUAGCAUUCCUAUCCUAUAGGGACUUAAGAGUUAGUUUUAAAAUCUGCCUAUUGUUUUAUUAUAUCUAACGUAGUUAUCAUGCUCUUAGGACACCACUAUUCUGCGUGUAGGCAAGCCUAUAAGGUGUUUUCAAAUCCUGCAAUUCUGAAACUAUUUCUCUUAUUUAAUUUUGUUCUGAUUUAACAGGAUUAAAAUCAGUAGGAUAAGUGAUAGGGUCAUUACUUCUGAAUUUAUAAAAAUAAAAACUACAUAUCUCAUGUGUUCUGUUAUUCGCCUUGAUAUCAUGUCUUAGGAUAUUGUUUAAGAAUAAGGCCCUUAUUUGUGUUUAAGUCGUGUUGCUCAUGUGUGUUGUUUGUGGAGGUAAACUUGAGCCCCUAAUUGUCUCUUUUCUGCCUUAUGUGUUAAGGUCUUAUUUAUUCUUGCAUGUCGCCUUAGUAUUUUCUCCUUUAAAAUAUUAGGGGUCUUCCUUGAACCACCUAUAGGUAGAGAUCCUAAAAUUCCCCCAGGACCAUUAAGAAGGAACGGGUAACAACACACAAUAGAGAUCGCUAACCAACACUCGCGUUAAUAACCACUAAGGGGUAGGAAGGAUAGAUAUGGGAUAUGAUGACUACGCUCUAAUGUCACGUGUAGCUCCACAUUGAGGAGUGUUUACUAGACAUUGUGUGGGGUAAUCCCAUAGGCUAACCAACCUAGGACCCCUCCUUUCCCAAAGUUCCUUUUGUUUAAAACUUUGUUUUAUAUGUAUACAACUUGUUAAAAAUCUUUGUCUUAUUAUUUGAGUUAUACAACGUCCAACGUGUUUUACUUGCAGACUAUUUAAUUCAACUAUUUACUUGUUAAUGGACUAAUUCGUAAGUGUAAGUUCUGUCGGGACCCACAGUUGUGGACCGAGAGGAGUGCCUAACACCUCCCCUCAAGGUUAUUUCGAGCCCUUACCCUGUAUCUCUUGUAAUGCAAACCAAUCCAAGAGUUAACUGCUCUAGGUGCCUUAAUGUACUACAAUCCGUUAGGUGGUGACUCAUCAAAUACCCAAUUCCAAAAAGAAAAUGAAUUAUUACCCCCAUGAAUGUUGAAACCCAGACUUUCUCCGCGGAAGGAAAAGGCGGCGCAAUAUUAAUGUGACUCACUGAUCUCUUACAAAGUUUUCUCUAUUGUGGUAAACUGAGGCAUGGUCAAGAGAAUUCUAUAUGAAAAACCCGGUUCAUCAGUAUUGGUUCAUCUGAAUACUAAGGUAUGUUUUCUAUACUCUGUACAAUUAGAAAUAUAAAUAUUUAAAUCAUGAGUAUAUGUCCUACAAUUUUUCAACUCCUUGUAAAACUCUAUCUGUUUGCUUUUUGAACCAGUUUUGUCAUCCUUAGAAUUCUAACCACAAACAAAUUGCCUAAAAUCUAGGGAAGCUUAACCGUUUGUUCAACCUACAAUUUCAGGUUUAUUAGACCUCUAAAUAAAUGUUAAAAGCAAAAGUAAUCUAUUUAAUGAGUCUUUAUUUUUAAAUACUCAUUAUUACUUCCUGCCAUAUUCAUAAUUCUAAAACGUCAAAAACCAUUCUUCACUCUCAAACUCCUUUCUUCUCCAAAGGUUUAACUCACCAUUUCUCUAGCACUAAGCUACAAUGACAAACCCACAAGAACACCCUGGAACUCCUCCAUAUCCUAAUCCCUCUGAUUCAUCUACCCCUCCUCCACCUAGCCUAACUCCCCAAUCCAGGCGAAGGAGAGUAAGAAUGCUUGCUCGAAAAACAGUGGCUUCUGGUGAUCUUUCAAAGAAAUUGAAUGAGAAAUUAAAGGAAAGUCAGGUCCAAGAUUAUGAUUCUAGCUCUGAGUUUGAUUCUUUUAAAUCAGCUAGUAAGGGGGAAGUACCUGCAUCUUAUGACUCUGACAAUGCUCGGAAAAGUCCUUCUAAGUUGAGUACUUCUCUGGCUGAAAAUAUAGAACAUCGGUUUGUGUUGGUUGGACCUAUAAGAGAUGUGGAAUUACCUGAGUUAAGUAAGAGUGGAGGUAAAAGGAAAUCUGUAAAAGAAAAGGAGAGAGAGGGUGAAAGUGGUGAACUAAGGGGAAAGGGAAAGGAGUAGUUGAUCAUUUACCGACUCCUGAAUUGUUUGUACCUGCUAUUUGUAGGGUUGUACAAGAAAUUGUUGAAGGAAGUGUCAAGAAGUCAGGGGGAAGCGGUUUAGGGGAGGUUGCUGAGGGGCUAGUUAAUCUAAGCUCACAUGGAGAUGAACCUGGUUUAUCAAUUGAAGAAACCCUAGAAGACCUUCUGAAAAAGGUGGGUGCAAGUUACGAUCCAAAGAAAAGAAGAACUCCAACACCAAAACCCCCUAGUUCUGCUAAACCAUCCAAGAAACAAAAGGCUUCCUCCCCAACAACUAUUGAAACUUCCUUUCCAAAGGGAAGAGCAACGAGAAACAGGGUGAAACAGAGAGAGAGAGACCUACAACAGGCUUUAGCUGAAAGUAAGAAGAAAAGGAUAGAUAAAGAAAAAGGUAAGGUUGCAAAAUUCUUAGAAUCUAUUGAUGUUGAGGAGAUGGAACAGGUCCAUCGGGAAAAAUUACAACAGUGGAGGUUCAGACCUCCAAGCCCAAAAAGACCAAGGCUUCUUUCAAGAAGUCUUCCUCUAUGUCUGAGGCUGCUGAACCUUCAUUGGCCAAGAGGACAAGGUCUGUAGUAAAAGGUAAACAAUUUAGAGUUUCUGAAGAAGAGGAAUGGAGUGGUUACGAAGAAAAUGAGUCUGAUGGUGAACAUACAAUCUUUCCAUGUUUGGUAAGAGGAAAGUUUUGAAGGGAAGAUUGCUAAAAUAUUUCGUAGAACCAGGAAUGGUUCGUUUGGUUGACACCCUAUCUGUUUAGGGAUGGAAGGGCAUGGUCUUUCAGAUGGACGGCAGACUGGCCAUAAAUGAAAUCAUCGAAUUCAUGGAAAAUGUUGAAAUGAUGGCAGAGUUACGAGCAAAGUUAAAGGAGUUCAAGUGACAUUUGAUGCUGAGAAGUUGGGUGAGAUUCUAUACAUCCCUGCUGAGGGAUAUGGUGAUUACACCAGAUAGAGAUAGCCAAGUCUGGAUUCCCUUCCAUCUGCCCUUACAAUCACUACAAACUUCUGUGAUGUUGAAGGCGUGAAUGAGGCCAAGUUUUGGAACAAUAGUGAAAUGAAGCCACAGCGCAAAGUCCUUUUUGAGUUUGUCAACAAGUGCCUACUGCCAAGGUAGGAGAGAAGGCAUAUUGCAAAUUAUAUGGACUUAGUUCUGAUGGAGUGCCUUGAAAGUGGAAGGAAAAUUAACUGGCAUGCAUUCAUCAUCAAGCUACUGGACAGGGUUAUUAAUGUCUCCAAGGCUCAUGCUACCCUCUAUGGCUUUAUUCUGACUACGGCUCUGGAUAGGUGCAAUGUGCCUCUGAAGAAAUGGGAAAUGGCAUCAAGAAAGGAUUACUUUGGUAGUAAUACUCUUCUUGCUUGUGAAUAUUUAGUCAAUUCCAUCCCAAAUGAAUCUGGUUCAUCCAAGAAGACACCUAUCAAUAGUAAAGCUAGGGCUCUUGUUCAGGAAAGUGAAGCCAAGGAGGCUGAGAUAGAUAGGCAAAAGGCUUGUGUGGCAAAGGUAGAAUAUAAGAGGGAUACUCUCAGAACUGAGCUUGCCAAGUAAAAGGAGAAGAAUGAUGGAAUUUUUCACAAUAUGCUAAAUCAUCUUCGAGCCCAAAACCAAUCCUCUAGAUCCCUCAAGCCUUCGAAGUUCUAGACUUUAUCUCUUGAACCCGUCUAGUACCUUCACUGAUCUAGAUUAGGGAUCUUUCUUUAUUUUUUCUCAUGUUUUGAAUAUUUUUGCUUUCUAGUUGUGGAUUGUAGUAGCAACAUAUCUUUACCAAUGAUAUCUACUAUUUCUGCUCUUGUUCAAUGUUAGUAUUUCAUUGAUAGAUUAAAUAUAUUUGCUUGAUUAUUGAUGAUUAAUUCAUGAUUGCACCUGCAGUUUGCCUAAGUGGCCAUGAGUACUUAUUAAAGUUUGGUACUCACACUUUGUGUAUGAAACUUUUCGAUGAUUCCAAAAGGGGGAAGAGAUAUUAUGCUUUACAUAUUCUAAAUAAGUGAUAUUUAUAACCUAAUUAACCUGGUCCUAGAUGAUAAGUGAAUUUUCUAAACUUUGUAUUGAUGGUUAAGCUGAGUUUUUAUAAGAUCCAAGUAAGUAAAAUGCACAGAGUUUGUCAUCAUCAAAAAGGGGGAAUUUGUUAGCCCAAGUAAAGGUGAAGUUUUGAAGACAGACAAAAGAACUCAGACAUGGACAAGGUCCAUCUUGUGAAGCACGAUCACGAUCAACCCAAAUAUGUGAGAUGCACGUAAAAGAGAUAGAUCCAACUUAUCAGAAAUAAUAUCUCCUAAUCUGAUCGAAAAGGUUGCAUAAUAUUAUAAGGAGAGAAAGACUCCUUAUACGAAGAGAACACAGUUUAGGAAGAGGAUAGCAUUAUAGUAUGAGAUCAACUAGAACUCUUGUAACAUAGAAGAGUAGUAUCUGCAUGCUAGUCAAUCUCUAAUUACUAAACCUAUUAAAUGUCAAUAUUGUUCUCUUUUGCAGGUAAUGCACAUAAGCAGAAGUUAAACGUAAAUUGAGAGCAAAAUAGCAAGGAAAUUUUGCAAGCAAUUUAUGUGUGAUUCAAGCGUGAAAUCCUAAAGCUACCUGAACAAGAUAAAAGAACCAGUUCCAAGUGUAUAUAUUUUAUUCUAAUUCAAUUGUCGUAGGUGAUUUUACAUUGUACCUUUCAUCUUUUAGAGAAGCAAUUGUAUUAGGUACUUAGAGUGAUCAAGUUAGAGUUAACUUGAAGUUAUCGUAACAGUUUAGAUUGUGUGCCAGAACGAGAUUAGAGCUAAUCCUAGGUUUACGAAAGAGUUUUUCUAAAUGCAGUUUUUGGCUCAGUGAUUUUAGUGGAAGUUUGAAAAAAUCCUGCUAAGUAGUAGGUCGUAGAUUUUUCACCUUUUGAGCUAGGUGUUUUCCACAUAAAAAUCUUUGUGUUCUUUAUUUUCUUUACUUAUUAUUCUGCAAACAUUAGUAGUUGGAACACAUAGAAGAACCAGGCCCUUCUAUAAUCAAGUUAAGCAAAAAUUGGUUACCACACAAAUCACCCUCUCCCCCUCUUGUGUGGUGUUGAAGUAUAAAUAUCAUAAGGGAAAUAGGGAGAUUCUCUAGAAUUGUCCGUUUGAGAUUCUUAUAAUCAUUGUACUAUUUAUCAUGUACACCUAAGAUAUCUAACAGUUCUUUAUCAUCAAAAGUCAGUGUCACCCCCUUGACCACACUAGUGAUCCUACCAUCUUUGAUCUUAUUGUUUGUCAUGAACUCCACAAUCUCAGUUUUGGCCAGCCUUCCAUCAAUCUAAAGGACCAUAUCCUUCCAACAUUGAAACUGUAACUUCUCUGGCAGCAUUAACAUUUUUUCCUCCUCCGUGUCCUUAAGGAGUCUAACUUUCAAGAUAGUUCUCUUUCCAAAUUUAACCAUAUUAUCCUUCUCAACAUCAGGAUCUCCUUAUUCUUCCUCUCCACUCUAUUCUUCUUCCUCAACAAUUUUCACUUUUCUUGAUUUUACAGCAGUCCUGGUUCCUUUAGCCAAAGUGGAUGGUUCAGCAGUCUUUAUCUUUGAAAUAGACUUCUUUGUGGAAGUCUUGGCUUUCUUUGCCUUAGGAUUCACAACGUCCAUUUCUUCUAUCUCAUCUUUAUUCAAAAGGACCAGGUCCAUCUCAUCAUGUUUAAUAGCCUCAACAUGCUCAACCACCUUCUUUUUCCCUUAGCAUCAACUUUUCUCUUACUUUCUUUUAAGUCAUUUUCUUGUUCAGGCUUGCUCUAUUUCUUCUAAAUCCUUGUGGAUCUUCCUCUUGUGGUAGGAAUCUAUACAGGGAUAGAAGAUGUAGUCUUCCUCUUCUUGUUUUCCCUAGCAGUGCUAGGGAUUUUAACUCCUGAACUUCCUUUUUUCUUGGAAUUGUAACUGUCAGUCACCCUUUUCAGUAAGUCUGCGAGGAUUUCCUAUUCAUAUGGAACACGUUCAUCAACAUCCUUCCCUAGUUGAACUUAUCCCUCAGCAGCUUUUCCAGACCUACUUCCCCUUAUUUCUCUCACACUUUCCUUUUCUCCAGUAGAUGCCUCACCCCAAACUACCAUAGCACAUGAUUCUUUAGUUAAGCCAAAAGGAGUGGGCGAAAAAUCAACCACUCCAUUUCCCAUACCCCUCCCCCCCCCCAGCGUGCUCCAAUCACCCUCACUCUAUUUUUUUUUCUCAUUUCAUUUUAAGUCAUUUUCUUGUUCAGGCUUGCUCUAUUUCUUCUAAAUCCUUGUGGAUCUUCCUCUUGUGGUAGGAAUCUAUACAGGGAUAGAAGAUGUAGUCUUCCUCUUCUUGUUUUCCCUAGCAGUGCUAGGGAUUUUAACUCCUGAACUUCCUUUUUUCUUGGAAUUGUAACUGUCAGUCACCCUUUUCAGUAAGUCUGCGAGGAUUUCCUAUUCAUAUGGAACACGUUCAUCAACAUCCUUCCCUAGUUGAACUUAUCCCUCAGCAGCUUUUCCAGACCUACUUCCCCUUAUUUCUCUCACACUUUCCUUUUCUCCAGUAGAUGCCUCACCCCAAACUACCAUAGCACAUGAUUCUUUAGUUAAGCCAAAAGGAGUGGGCGAAAAAUCAACCCCUCCAUUUCCCAUACCCCCCCCCCCCCCCAGCGUGCUCCAAUCACCCUCACUCUAUUUUAUUUUCUCAUUUCAUUUUACCACCAACCCUUCCAAACUCAGUGUUGCAACACUUGUAACAAUUCUUACCAGAACAAAUCUAGUCUCCAGAUUUUUAGCAACCUUAGAAAUAAUUUGAGGAGUAACUUUAGUGCAAGAUAUUACCUAUUCUAUCUUAGAAGAAACCAUUUCUUCCCCCUCAGUAGCAGAUAUGAAUGAUUCAUCAGAUUUUUGUGGUUCUUCUUCCCUACCUGCUUUCAAUUUUUCAUUUAUUUUCUUAAUCUUCUCUCCACCAGUGACAACCCUAUGAAACAUAUUUUUUACCCUACUUUUCUUAGAGAUUGGCAUAAUUGAAAGGGUGAUAGAAGGUGUGGAAGUGAUUUAAUUGGGUGGUCAUGAAGGGUUGCCAGAGAUGUUAACCUUUUUUGUGCUUGGGUAUGAAAUAAAGUGAGCUUGAGUGUGUUUGGAAGCUCAGAGAAGGUGGAGAGUAUAUUUGAUGGCUUGAAAAUUUUAAGUGAAGAAAAAAACUAAGCCUUAUCAAUUUAAAUAGGAGUGUUUGAUGGGGUAAAAACGAUCUCUCGGAAGUCUAAUCUAACUGAAUUUCUAUUUUUUAAAAAAAGUUGGAGAGAGUCCCUAGAAUCUAGGCACUAAAUGUUUAUUGGGCUCCUUUUUGAACGAAACCAGUUCAUUUCAUAAUGGAUAAAUUCAAAAGGAUUUAGGAUUAAAUAGGACUCUUCUCUUAUUCACGAUCCAAAUAUAAUUAUUUAAUAACGACUCGAUCGAUUUUUUUGAGUAUCUACACUUUGCUUGUUUAUUUGAGGGCAUGAGUAGAUCUGUAUGAUGUAUUAUGACUUAUGUGAAUCAUCCGUUUUGGUUUUUAGUUUAUUUGUAAUUGAUUUGGAGGAAUGAUUCUCACCUAGAAGCUUUAAAUUUAAAAGGUUUGACCAAGUUUGACUUAUCAGUAUUUGAUCUUGAAUUGGAAAUUUGAUUGUUCCGUUAGCUCUUUUGGGUGAUUUUGGACUUAGGAGCGCGCUCGAUCGUGGUUUGGAGGUCAGUAGUAGAAUUUGGUUUGAAAUGGCGAAAAUGAAUUUUGGAAAGUUUGACCAGAAGAGGACUUUUUGAGAUCGAAGUCGGAUUUUGAUUUUGGAAGUUAGCGAAGGUGUGUAAUGUCACAUGUGACUUGUGUGAAAAUUUUGAGGUCAACAAGAAGUGAUUUGAUAGGUUUCGGCAUUGGUUGUGGAAGUUUCAAGUUUCAAGUUCAUCGAUUUCGAAUUGAGAUGUGAUUCAUCAUUUUUUUUGUUGUUAUAUGUGUUUUGAUCCCUCGAGUUGGUCCCUAUUAUGAUAUGAGACUUUUUGGUAUAUUCAAACAGGGUAUCAAGGGGCUCGGGUGAGUUUCGGAUAUGUUUGGAAUGUGUUGCCUUCGUUUUUUAUGUUUUGACAUCGUUUCUUCAAGCUUAAAUGGUACUACAUUAAGAAAUUGAGCUUUGAUUUCAACUUUUAUCAAAGCUUUAUAUUAGUAUCAUCAUUAGGAGACACAGAAAAAUGAAUCGUUGAAUUUGGACAUCGUAUGAGGAUUUUAUGGUCAUUUUACUAAGAAUUGGGUUGUCAGAUUUUUUAGAUUAAUUACGAAAUUGUCACUGAGUUCGUAUUUAAAAUUCUUCACUAUUUCCAAAUAUUGAUACCAACAUAUUUCCUUCAAUAUAAUGUCAAAUAGAGUGAUUGAAGAGCCUAAAUAGACUAAAAUUUCACAAGAAAUCUAUUGGAGGCAUCAAAAGUGAGUUUCAAUAUCAUCUGGCUUGAUAAACAAGGCAGAAUAGCUUGCUGAAAAAUAUAUAAAAUAAGGGUUUGUUCAUUUGGUCAUAUUUUGAGUUGGUGAGCUAGAAUUUAGGUAAUUUUUGAGGGAAUUUUCACCAUAUGGAUUAGGUUAAGUCUUCUCUACUCAUCAAACAAAUAGAGAAAGUUUGAAUAUUAGAAAGUUUGACUGGGAGCGAACUUUAUAAUAUCGGGGUCAAAUUUUGAUUCCGGAAGUUGGAUCAAGUCUAUAAUGUCAAAUGUGACUUGUUAGACAUUUUAUCUCUUUGCUGAAUGAAUUAGUUAUUUCGUAGUUGUUGCCUCCUAUUAUUUGCUUAAGUUGUUUAUCGAUACUUUUGAGGCAUAUUUUCUGGAUUGGUCUCGCUGUGUAGUAUUAUUCGUACAGAUUCUAUAUUGAACGAGGUUUCCUUUUCUUGGUUCAAUUUGGUACUUAUUUAUCAUAAAGGUCUUGUGAUAUAGCAUGUUGAUUUGACUAUGUACAUUGGGUGUUUGGUUCUGAUAUGGUGGGAUACGGAUGCACGCCGCAGAAAAUUUACCUUGAAAGUAGCGAUAAACAACUUAAGCAAAUAAUAGGAGGCAACAAAACUAUGAAAUAACUAAUACUUUCAGCAAAGAGAAACAAUUUCUAGGAAGUUAUUAGAAAGAUUUCGGCAUCGACUGUGGAAGUUUGAAAUUUCAAGUUUAUUUAUUCCGAAUUAAGGUUUGAUUCAUUGUUUCGAUGUUAUUAUAUAUGGUUUUGUGCCUAUAGUAGGUCCUUAUUAUGAUAUGGGACUUGUUGGUAUGUUCGAACAGGGUUUUGAGGGGCUCAGGUGAGUUUCGAAUAGGUUUGGGUUGUGUUACGAUCGUAUUUUAUGUUUCGACGUCGUUUCUUCAAACAUAAAUGGUACUACAUUAAUGAAAUGAGCUCCAAUUUCCGUUUUAUCAAAGCAUUAGAUCUGUAUCGUAAUUACGGAUCCAUAUCAAAAAGAAUCAUUAAAUUUGGAGAUUGUAUGAGGAUUUUAUGGUCAUUUUACUAUGAAUUGGGUUGCCAGAUUUUUCAGAUUAAUUACGAAAUUGCGAAUGAGUUCGCUUUUAAUAUUCUGCACUAUAUUCAAAUACUAAAACCAAUGUAUCUCCUUCAAUAUAAGGUCAAAUAGAGUGAUUCAAAAGCCCAACUAUACUAAAACUUCACAAGGAAACCAAUAGAGGUAUAAAAAGAGAGUUUCGGGAUCAUUUGGCUUGAUAAACAAGGCAGUAUAGCUGGCAGAAAAAUACAUAAAAUAAGGGUUUGUUCAUUUGGCCAUAUUUUGAGUUGGGGGCUCGGAUUUGAGAGAAUUUGGAGGCGAUUUUCACCAUAUGAACUAGAUAACUAUUUUUUACUCGAUUUUGGUUAUAGUUCGUAAAUCUAUCUUCGUGUUUGGUAAUUGGUUUGUGAACUUAAAAAGAAAAUUGGGGGAGUUUGCUUAAUGUUUCAUAAUAUGAAUGUUUGAAUUUUGAACAUCGAUUUGGAGUCGAAUUUGAGUAAAACUAGUAUGGUUGGAUUCAUAAUUGAAUGCGUUUUGGAAUUUUAUGAUUUUUGACUGGUUCUAAGGUGUGGGCUCGAGUUCGGCUAUUUUGGCCGAUUUUGGACUUCUGAUUAAGAUUUGAUCUUUUUCGAUUGGGAUUGGUUCCUUUAGCAUUAUUUGAUGUAUUUGAGUUGUUUUUGGUUAGUUUCGAGCCAAUCAGAGGUCGGAACGCGCGAGAUGGAAUUUUUGAAUCAUUGCUUAGCUUGCUCGGUAUUGGAAUUGGCUUGUUCGAGGUAAGUAACUAUUCUAUAAUUAGUGUUGAGGGUACAAAACCUUGAAUUAUGUUCUAUGUGAUUGAUGAUGAGGUGACGCACAUGCUAGGUGAUGGGUGUGUGGGCGUGCACCAUGUGAAUGAUGAUUCCUUUGUUUUCAUGGCACUGCUUAGUGGCCCCAUUUUGUUGAUAUAUGUGUCCUCACCAUGUGAUUAAGUAACUAAUCCAUCAAUCAUGCUAGAUAUCAUGUUUAGGCUUUUAUGCUGAUAUUGUUAGGACCCAUAGUGGUCUUUUCUUGUUGUCGUCACACUGAUUUCAUUGAUAUUUCAUACUAUGUUAUUUAUACGUUCAUAUCAUAUCUCAGUCUCAGUUGUUAUUUAUUGAUACAUCAUAUCAUUGUUGUCGGGCUAGUUUCAUGACACCAUCGGCCCGUGAGUGAGACUGGAGAGAUUGAUGAUUGAGUGAGGUCGUGGUCCUGAGUGAGAGUGAUACUACGGGAUCUAGCUGCAUGCCGCAACGAUAUAGCACUUGUGAUAAAGAAGCCCCUCCAGAGCUUGCACACCCCAGUUCGCGCAAUCGACUAUAUAUAUAUAUAUAUAUAUAUAUAUAUAUGUGUGUGUGUGUGUGUGUGUGUGUGUGUGUGUGUGUGUGGANNNNNNNNNNNNNNNNNNNNNNNNNNNNNNNNNNNNNNNNNNNNNNNNNNNNNNNNNNNNNNNNNNNNNNNNNNNNNNNNNNNNNNNNNNNNNNNNNNNNNNNNNNNNNNNNNNNNNNNNNNNNNNNNNNNNNNNNNNNNNNNNNNNNNNNNNNNNNNNNNNNNNNNNNNNNNNNNNNNNNNNNNNNNNNNNNNNNNNNNNNNNNNNNNNNNNNNNNNNNNNNNNNNNNNNNNNNNNNNNNNNNNNNNNNNNNNNNNNNNNNNNNNNNNNNNNNNNNNNNNNNNNNNNNNNNNNNNNNNNNNNNNNNNNNNNNNNNNNNNNNNNNNNNNNNNNNNNNNNNNNNNNNNNNNNNNNNNNNNNNNNNNNNNNNNNNNNNNNNNNNNNNNNNNNNNNNNNNNNNNNNNNNNNNNNNNNNNNNNNNNNNNNNNNNNNNNNNNNNNNNNNNNNNNNNNNNNNNNNNNNNNNNNNNNNNNNNNNNNNNNNNNNNNNNNNNNNNNNNNNNNNNNNNNNNNNNNNNNNNNNNNNNNNNNNNNNNNNNNNNNNNNNNNNNNNNNNNNNNNNNNNNNNNNNNNNNNNNNNNNNNNNNNNNNNNNNNNNNNNNNNNNNNNNNNNNNNNNNNNNNNNNNNNNNNNNNNNNNNNNNNNNNNNNNNNNNNNNNNNNNNNNNNNNNNNNNNNNNNNNNNNNNNNNNNNNNNNNNNNNNNNNNNNNNNNNNNNNNNNNNNNNNNNNNNNNNNNNNNNNNNNNNNNNNACCCAUCAUACUCAUUUUAUAUAUAUAUAUAUAUAUAUCGAGUUGCACGCCACAAUGAGUAAUAUAUAGUGUUGAGUGAUUUGGUGUGUUGAGUAUUGAGCACAGUAAGAGAUAAUGCAAGAUAGUGAGGUUGAGUACUCUAAGAGUGUGAAUACAUGAGUUCAUCGCUGAGAAGCAUUGCAUUUAACAUGCGUACCUGAGAUACAUACAUGAAGAUGCAUUUCAUUUUGCUGCCCAGUUUGGUGAUGUUCAUGAUUUUACUUGUAUCUUGACAUAUAGGCAUUGAGAUAUAUUUUUCUCAUGCUAUCUGAAAAUGAAACAUUUACCUAAUGAAAGGUUUUUGGGGAAAAUUUUAAUUUUAAAACUUACUCAUAUUUUUGACAAUUUCGAUAAAGGAUUUGGGUUUUCACUGUUAUCCUUGAAAAGCGAAACUAUUUUCGAAAAUUAAUAAUAAGCUGAGCAUUUUGAUUUUCGAGUUAUUUCUUUUAUUAUUUGCUUUAUAUUAGUAUGAAAUGUUGUUGUCUAUUGGUGUCGGACCCGACCUUUGUUCUAGCUCCUCACUACUUUCAACCUAAGGUUAGGUUUAUUACUUACCAGUACAUAGGGUCAGUUGUACUGAUACUACACUUCUGCACUUUGAGUGAAGAUGUUGGUUGAUAUUGUUAUUAUGUUCGAUGGAUGCUGGAUUUGAAGAUGUACCUGCGUUCCGGUUCUAGCUGCCUCUUGUUCGUUGUAGUUGUAGAUUUAUGAAAACUCUAUUUAUGUAUUUUACAAACAAAAGAUGUAUUUACUUUAUAUCAGCUUUGUAGAUUCUAUUCUUAGAAGCUCAUGAUUUGUACUACCAGUCUUUGGGAAAGGUAUAAGAUUCAGCUAACUUCUUUGUUUAAUCAUCUUUUUAAUAUUAUUGAAACUAGAUAGCUAUUAGUUGGCUUACCUAGCGGGUUGGGUUAGGUUCCAUCACGACUAGUGUAUUUUGGGUUGUGACAUAUUUCAAAUUAUGGAGACUGGAGAAUACGUACCAAGUAAUCUAGAUGAAUCGGGUUCUUGACUGUGAGAUCUCUUGUGUAAAUCUAAAUUUUCCGAAAAAAAAAAUAAUAUCAUUAAAGAUUAAUAAGUCAUUUUAUCACAUGGAAUAAGUACUAAUGAAAGUAUAAAACUUAGAAAAAUCCAAUCUAAUUAUGUACAAAAAUUCACAAUCUUCUAACCAAUUUUUGAGAUAGAACAGGUUUCUUUUAGAUGAUCUUAAUCAUCCCUAAUUCUAACAUGUUCCUUUCAGAGUGAUCUUUACUUUGAUCUUUUGUGAAGAUGUUAGCUAUUUGAUUGUCAGUAGCACAAAAUUCUGCAGUAAUCAAAACCUUCUUAUAGUUGUCCCUCAACAAAUGAUGCCUAACAUCUAUGUGCUUAGUUCUCUUAUGAUGAGCCAGGUUCUUGGUAACUAAUUGCACUAGUAUUAUCAUAGAAUAUGGGGAUAGAACCUACAUCAAUUCCCAAAAUCCAUUAGUUGUUGUUUGAUCCGCAAUAAUUGAGCACAACACGAGGCAAGUAGUAGAUAAGGCCACAGAAUUUCGUUAUUUGGUGGCCCAUGACACAAGACAUGAAACAAGAAAGUGAGCCAUACUUGAGGUGCUCUUUCUAUCCACAAGAAAACUUGUAUAAUCAGCAUCAGCAUAUCCCACUAGGUUGAAAUUACUAACUUUUGGAUACCAUAGACGAAGGUCAUUGGUUCCUUUUAUGUAUCUUAAGAUCCUCUUGACAACAGUCAAGUGAGACUCCUUUGGAUUUUCCUGAACCCUAGCACAAAAGUCUAUACUGAAGACAAUGCCAGGUCUGCUAGCAUUGAGUUAUACCAAAGAGCCAAUCAUUCCCCUAUACAACUUCUCAUCAACAGAUGAACCGGGUUCAUCUAUAUCCAAUUUUGUGGUUGUUGGAAUAGGAAUGUAAAUUUCUUUGGAAUCUUCCACUUUAAACCAUUUAAGCAACCCGUUUACAUACUUAUGCUAAUGGGUCAUAGUAAACAUUUGAAUUUUGUUUAGUCUGCAAGCCUAAAAAGAAAUUAAGAUCACCCAUCAUACUCAUUUCAAAUUCACUCCCCAUUAGUGGUUGCUCCAAAGGUUAUAUCAUGUACGUAUAUCUAAACUUCAAGAGAUCUUUACCUUUUUCCUCCAACAAUAAGGUGUUGUCAAUUUUACCUCUCUUGUAGCCAUGCUCAAGCAGUAACUUUGAUAAUAUUUCAUGCAUGGUCUUUGAGCCUGCUUGUGCUCAUAAAGUGCCUUGUUAAUCUUGUACACGUGAUCAGGACAUUCCUUGCUUUAAAAGCCCGGAGGUUGCUUAACAAACACUUCUUCCUUUAGAUACCCAUUGAAGAAGGCACUCUUGACAUCCAUCUGGUGGAUAAUGAAUUCCGAGUAAGCAUAAAGGGUUAUAAUUAGCCUGAUUGCUUCUAAUCUUGUAACGAGAGCAAAAGUCUCAUCAUAAUAUAUGUCGUCCUCUUGACUAUAUCCUUGAACUACCAAUCUUGCCUUGUUCCUUGUAACUAUUCCAUCUUCAUCAAGUCUGUUUUUGAAGACCUAGUUAGUGCCAAUUACUGAUCUUUCCUUGGGUCUUGGUACCAGAGCCACACUAAACUUCUCUCAAAUUGGUUGAGUUCAUCUUGCAGUGCAUGCACGCAGUCUGCAACCUGCAUAGCCUCAGCAACAUUUUUAGGUUCAAUGAGAGAUAUAAAAGCAUCAGAAACACAAAGAUUCUUCAAAGAACAUCUGGUUUUGAUUCUAGAGGUUGGAUCAGUAAUUAUGUUCUCAAUGGGAUAAGAACUUUGGUAUUUGUAAGAUUUUACAACUAGUUGGUUUCCCCCAGAUGUUCCUUCAAUGUUUUGUUGCUGAGGAACAGGUUCAUAGGCAGGCUCCCUCGAGGUUUGAGGAUCAACUCCUCUUUAUUUAGUUCCCCCUGCCAGGUUGCCUUGGGUAGAAGAACAUGUUCCAUCACAUGUUCCUUCCUCUGGUACAGCUUCAGUCUGGGCUAUGGUUUCAUUUGAAUUUCUUACCAGCCCAAUUGCUUCAUCUUCAUGUUCCUGCCUCUGAAAAAGAAUGUUAGUUUCAUCAAAACCACAAGUACAUUUUAUUCUACACACAUAGUUCUUUUGUUAUAGAUCUUAUAAGUUUUACAAUCGGAAGAAUAUCCCAAGAAUACUCCCUCAUCACUUCUGAGAUCAAACUUACCUAGGGAGUCUUGCCAUUAUUGAGCACAAAACACUUGCAUCCAAAUGCCCUAAGAUGGGAUAUAUUUUUCUUUCUCCCUUUAAGUAACUCAUAGGGAGUCUUCUCAACAAGAGGUAUAGUCAUGCACCUAUUUAUGAUAUAACAAGUAGUGUUCACAACUUCUGCCCAAAAAUUAUGGGACCAUUUAUUAGAAAGAACCAUUGUCCUAGCCAUUUUUUCCAAUGUCCUAUUCUUUCUUUCAACCACUCUAUUUUGUUGUGGAGUCCUAGGAGCAAACAAAUUAUGAUCUAUGCCACGGUCAUCAUUAAAUUCAGCAAUUUUAGUAUUUUCAAAUUUCUAGUACCAUGAUCAGACCUUAUUGAUGCGAGAUGAUUAUCUAGUCGUUUUUGAGUUUUUCUAACAAAAGAAAUGAAUAAGUUAAAUGCUUCAUCUUUAGAUGCUAGAAACAACGUCCAAGUAAACCUAGAGUAGUAUCUCUUACCACCUAUGCUCAAGGUUCUUAAUGGUCCACAAAGAUCCAUAUGAACUAGUUCUGUCGUUCUGGUGGUACUUACCAUUUUCUUGCUUUUGAAAGAGGAUCUUACCUGCUUGCGCAUUGCACAAUCCUCACAAACUUGUCUUCCUUGAUCUUAAUGUUAGGCAAUCCUAUCACCAAGUCCUUGGAGACUAGUUUGUUGAUUUGACUUAGACUGGCAUGUCCAAAUCUUUUGCAUCGAAGGAUGGGAUCAUUAUCUAGCACACUUAAACAAGUCAGUUCAUUAUUUGAGAUUUUGGACAGAUCCACAAUAUAUAUAUUAUUCACUCUUUUUCCCUGAAAAACUAUCUUGUUAAUGAUAAUGUUAAUCGCAGAGCACUUUGUAGAGAUGAAUGGAACCAUGGUACCUCUAUCACAUAAUUCUAAUACACCAACAUAAUGAGAGUCAGUCUUACCUUCUUUGCCACACCCAAUGCUCUCACAUUUCUUCCCAUUUUCAAAGGAGACAUUACCUCCUAUAAGGUACUCAAGUGAAAGGAAAUGGUUCUCACUUCCUGUCAUAUGAUCUGAGUAACUGCUAUCUGUUCCCUUUCACUUAGACCUGCAAAAGAAAAUAAAGGGCUAGUCUUAGGAAUCCAAACUAGUUUGGGUCCCUUCUAUGUGCAAAAGGAUGAAUUAAAUUCUUUUAAGCCCGGUUUGGCACUAUUUUUUCCUUGAAAAUAUUCUUUGUUCUUUUGACUUUCCUUUUCUUUUGCAGUGCAUUCACUUUUACAGUACCGGGUUUUACCACAGUGUGUGCAAAUUUUGUUCUCAGAAAGUGUGAGGUACUUGCUUUUGGGAUCCCACUUGGGUGAAGGGUUCCCAAAGCCAAGUCCUCUUUUGUUUCUACUAUGGUGUUCUUGUAGCCAUGAAAAUGCUUCGGAGGACUGGUUCCAUUUACAAGUUGUGUCUAGCUCAUGCUUGACCUUGCUCAGCUCCUCCUUUAGAGAUCUUAUCUACUCAUCUCUUUUGUUCAACUUAUCUUUCUUUUUUGUUACAUUUUCUUCUAAAGUGAGUUGUGUGGGAUCAGCUAUCUUUUACCUGUUCCUAGUUUUAAUUUUAUAUUUUCAUAUCUAAGCUCUAGGACAGUAGUGUCAAGUUCAUGAACCCGGUUCUUAAACACAACUUUUACACUUUCAAUUUCACAUGUCCUAAGUCCAGAUUUUCGCACUUACCUUUUAUAACUACAUACUCUUUUUUUACAGUUGUUCAUUUUCAUUGUUUACAUCAUCAGAUUCAUCAACUAGCUCUAGAAGCAACUUCGAUAACCUUUUAUUAGACAAAAAAUUAAUCUUGUCUUUGAGAUAGAAACACUUACCUCAGCUUCUUCAUCAGAUUCUCCAAUAGUCAUAAGUGCUCGUUCAUCAUCAUAAUCAUUAUCAUCUAAGCUUUCAUCUAAGUUAUCUCCCCAAGCACCAUCCUUUGUUGAUCUUUUGUUGUUGCUUUUCUUGGGUUGAACCUGUUCCUUCUUCCUAUUCCUUCAUUUAACUCUUUCCUUCUUCCACUCAAUUUCCCAUAGAGGACAGCCCUUGAUGUGGUGAUAAGUCUUUCCACACUUGUAGCAGCCAUCAUUGAUUUGUUUCUCAUGAGCUUUUGAUUUCUUGUAGCUACCCCUUCUUGAAGAACUCUUUCCUCUUCUUAGGUACUUCUUGAAAUCUUUGGUGAUUAUAGCCAUUUAAUCAUCUUCCAGAUCAGAAUCUUCAAUGAUUCUGACAGCCAAACUUCUUUCCUUCUUAGGUAUAUCCAUCAUCAGGGUCUAUCUCCUAAGUUCAUAGGCAGAGGGAGAGUGGCGAUAUUCUUUGAUUCCUGGAUGGCAGUGAUUUUGCUCUCCCAAAUGAUAGGCAAGACUGUAGUUAAUAAUUUUUCGACCCUUUCUUCUUCAGGAAUAACCUUUCCAAAAGAUUUCAAUUUAUUUGUCAAUGUAAUGAACCUUUUAUAUAUCUCUUGAAUGGUUUCCCCUUCCUUCAUAGCAAAACCCUCAUAUUGGGAGUAUAAUAGAGUUCCUUUGGAUCUCUUCACCUGAGGUGUUCCUUCAUGAGCCACUUGCAGUGUGUUCCAUAUUUGCUUAGUAGUGGUACAGCCUUGGAUUCUAAUGUACUCACCUGGACCAAGUCCACAAACAAGUCAUUUCUUGGUUUUCCCACUUUCUCAAGUCUUUAGUGGUGCAAUCAGAUCUUGUCUUUGGCACAUCUACUUCUUCAACAGUUUUCUUCAAGGUUGCCAAUGGACUAUCAGUGACAAUGUCCAUAGCUCGUAGCCGUAUCCUAUAAUAUGAUCUAUCAUCCUAUUUUUCCAUUAAGAGUAAUACUGGCCAUUAAAGAGUGAUGGCCUAGCAGUGGAUUGCCCUUCCUAUUUUUUAGGUGGUGCAAUCAUAUUGAUCUGUUCCUAAGGUGUAAGCCUCUUCAAGUAUAACCCCUCUGAUGCCAAUCGAUGUUUUAUACUUUAAGGCUAUACAAGAGAGGGAUGAUGUUAGAUCUAAUUUUAAUGAUGCAAAUAAUAUAUAUGUGCAGGAGAUCAAUUACAGAAGAAUAAAGAAUCAAGGAGCUACUUAAGAAAGAACAAGAUUGCCCGAGUCAGGCUGGAUGCGUAAGGAAAGGAAUCAAUCAGCAAAGAUUACGAAUCAGUCAACAAAUCUGGAUGCUUAAAAAAGGUAAUCAAUCAGCAAAGAUUGCGAUGGAAAGAAUCAAGCAAGCCUAAAUAUAAGGCCUUAAUCAAGACCAUCCAGAAGAUUGAAGCAGUGAAAAAACUUUGAAAGAUUCUGUAAGAAGAGUAGUUGAGCGGCUAAUUUUGGAAGGACCAAGAAUCAAGGAGUAAACCCUCAUCAAUAAAAAUUGUAGAAGGAAAUCUGUUAAUUUCCUUUCAUCAAGGAAGAGCAACGACAAGCAAUCUUAUUUUUGAAAAGAAUCAAUCUCUUUUCAAGGAUCAAAUCUCUUUGGUUGUCAAGUCUCAUCAGCAAACGCUAUUCACCAAAGUAUUUAUACUCAGCAUCAAGCCUUAGAUGGAUAUACCUUGGUCGAACCAAAAAACCUCUAUUUAUUUACUGCAAACAAAUAUUGUAGUUCUUUGAGACCUGCUGUGUAACAACUCAGAGAAAGAUGAGAGUAUAACACUAUGGAGGCAUUGUAUCAAAAAAGACGAGUGUUACAGAUACUGAGCUAUCACAUCAAUUCUAUCAUACUCGAAGAAACGCAUUUACUAAGAGAACUCCCUUGCAACCCAAGGAGAUUGGACUAGAUUCACAUUGAAUCUAAACCAGUAUAAAAAUACUGGUGUCUUUAAUUCCUGCACUUACUUUUGGCAUUUUAUAUUCUGCUAUUGUAACUAUUAGGUUAUUGCAUCUAGUCGACUAAUUGAAGAACUAGUCAACUAAUAGAUAUUAAGAUUAAAAAAUAUACAAUUCAUCCCCCCUUUUGCUUUUAGAUGAUUUGUGUGGCGUCCAGUUUUGCAUGCACAGAUUAUAAAAGGACAUGGUUUUUCUAUGUGUUCCUUAAACAACUAUUGAAGAAAUAAUAAAUGCCAAAAGUAAAGAACACAAGUAUUAUACAUGGAAAAUACCCGGCUGAAAAGGUGAUAAAACCAUAACCUACUACUCAGUAGGAUUUUUACUAAGAAUUCACUGAACCACUAAUCCAAAACGGCAUUUACAAAAACUCUUUGUAAACCUAAGGAUUACCUUUAAUCCCGUUGUGCAACCAGCCUCUAUGUAACGACCCGACCAAUCGUUUUGAGCUUUUGCACUUCGAUCGCUAGUUAUCGGGUAUGACUUGCCCCGUGUGAUGUAUUAUGACUGAUGUACAUUGUUGGUUUUGGUUUUCAAGAAAAUUUGGAAUGAAUUUGAAAGAAUAGUCUCACUUGAAGGCUUUAAAUUUGAAUGGUUUGACCAAGAGUUGACUUAUUUAUAUAUGAGCUCGGAUGUGCUUUUUGAUUAUUUGGUUAGCUUCGAGGGAUGAUUUUUGACUAAAGAGUGUGAUCGGAAGUGGUUUUCGAGGUUCGGUGUAUAAUUAGGCUUGAAUUGGUGAAGUUAGUAGUUUGGCGAUUUCUGGUCGAUAGGUGAGAUUUUGAUCCGAGGAUCAGAAUGGAAUUCCUAGAGUUGAAGUGGCUUUGAUAUGAGAUAUAGGAUGUGUGGGUAAAAUUUCAGGUCAUUCGGAAGUCAUUUGAUUGGGUUUUUUAUCAAAAAUAUGUUUCGGAAGUUUUAGAAGAACUUAGGCUUGAAUUUGAUGAAAUUUGAUGGUUUUAAUGUUGUUUGAGGUGUGUUGAUGAUUGGAAAAACUUUGAUUGAUGUGUUAGGAUGUGUUAAUUCUUUUGGUUGAGGUCCUCGGGGCCUCGGGGUGAUUUCGGAUGGCUAACGGGAAGUUUAGAAUUUCGAAAGGAUAGCAGAAAAUGUAGCCGCAGGUGUAGGCCUAUUUUGGCCUUCGAGUUCGCGAAGGAGGAGAUUGGGGUCCAUGAUAUUUGUGCUUCGCAUUCGCGUUUUUGUAUCUCGCAUUCAUGCAGAGUGAUAACCUUGUGCUUCGCGUUCGCGGGGAUUAUUUUGCGUUCGCAUAUGAGGAAUUGAGGAUCUGUAUAAUUUGUUCUUCGUGUUCGCGUAGUUGAAGCAGUUGAAGCUUCGCAUUCACGGGUAGGGCACCACAUUUGCGAAGGGUAAUUUUGGUCAAGGAAAUAUUUUUGCAUCACGAACGCACAAAGGCCCUCGCACUCGCAUAGAAGGAAAUCAGAGUAGGGCAGAAGGGUGCCAAAGUCGUUUUUCCACUAUUGUUGAGCAUUUUGAGAGCUAUUUGGGGCGAAUUGAAAAGGGAUUCGAAGAGGAUUGAUUGGAGGUAAGUUUUAUGAAUCAAAAACGUGAUUAUAUUGUGAAAUUAACCUAGAAAUCAUGGAAAUUUAACCAAAAAUGGAAGAACUAGGGCUUCAAAUUUUGGAAGUUUAAUUUAGGAUUUGAGGGGUCAUUUGGACCCCGAUUUUUGGUGUUCUUUAUAUGUAUAGACUAGUGGAUUUACAAGGAACCCAUUGAUGUAAAAUUUCUGAGCUUCAAGAAGUGGGCUCGGAGGUCAAGUUUUGGUAAUUUCGAGAUUUGUGCCAUAUGUUGAUUAUUUUCGCUUGGGCUUUGUUCCCUUAGCAUAUUGUGAUGUAUUUGUUCCGAUAUUGGAUAGAUUCGACGAGCGUGAAGGAAAAACUGAGAGGUAAAGGCGCCGCGAGCUAGAGAUUUUAUCGGUUCGAGGUAAGCAAUAAUUUUAAACACCAUUCUAAGAUUUGAAAACUUGGAUUAUACAUCGUUGUGUUACUUAGAGGUGACUUACAUGCUAGAUGACGAUCGUGGGGUAGAGCACCAUUGGGGAUUGUCACCCAGUCCAUCCCGAACGAUUAUUUUCUUGAGUAUUUGACAAUGAACUGUCUGUUGUUACUAUAUUUUGGUUGUAUGCCAUGCUUGGAGCCUUUUGCCGACUUGUUGAGACCCUUAGGGGAAUUUUUACUAUCUUUCCUCAUUCUAUUUGUUUGAAAGCAUAUCCUCAGUUAUGUUUUACCUGUUUAUUACUCAAAUCUUGCUUUAUCACCAUAUUCUUAAAAAAUGUGGAAAGUGUGUUGGGAUGAGUUCCCUAUUCUACUGAUGGUUCGAGUGAUCGUGAGAUGAUGAAUGAGGUAUACCGAGGGUCUGAUUGUGAGCUUGAUGACUGAUAUAGACUGAGAGUCCAAUGUUAAGGUUAAUGACUGAGAGAGGCUGAGGGCGUAGGUGAGGAUUAUACUUAUAUGGAUCAGGCUGCACACCACAGCAAUAUAUAAAUAUAUAUAUAUAUAUAUAUAUAUAUAUAUAUGGAUCGGGCUUCACGUCGUAGAGAUACUUACAUGGAUCGGGCUUCACACUGCAGUGAUACGUUGGAUCAAGCUGUAUGCCGUAGAAAUAUUGUGCUUGGGCCGUAAGGGGCCCCUCCGGAGUAUGAACACCCCCAGUGAGCACUGUCGAUGAAGUAUAUAGAUCAGGUUGCACGCCGCAGCAAUAUAUAGAUCGGGCUACAUGCCGGAGCGGUUACGAUAUGGUACCUAUAGAGCGUGAAUGUUGAGUGCGAGUAACGAUAAGUAAGAGUUGAGUCAUGAGUGGUAGAGAGGCUAGCCCUAGGGGCGAUAGAUAUAUACAUGCAUAUGAGUGAUACUUUGCCUGGGAGGCCUGUUUAAGAACUUAAUGAUUUCAUUCCUCUUUUCAGUGAGUUUCUAUCGAAUAUGUUGAUUUAUUGACAGCUUUCACUCAUCUUUAUAUUGAGCCUCUGCGGAAAAUUUGAACGAAUGAAUUAAAACAACUUUUAUUUAAACUACGGUCUACAAGAUGUUCAUAAAUUAAUCACGAAUUUGGUAUUUGGCUAUCUACACCGAGAUUUUCAAGUUAUGAAGUGUUUAAGAUUAUUGUUUUGCCCGAGGGGCUAUUUUACGAUCUAUGUUUUCCUGAGAGGCUAAUUAUUACUUUAAUCUCUACUAUAAUUUUAAAUGGUAUUGAACCCCCACUGAAAAUUCUGGAAAGUAUUUCAAAAUAAUUUUUACUAAAAGCCGAACUUUAAUAGGGAAGGUUGACUAGUAUUAUGAUUUGAAAGCCUAUUAUAUUUUUUGAGCCUAAUGUGAAUGUGGAUACAUUAUCUUUUACUGCUCAGUAUUUAUUUACUAUUAUUCUUUACUGGGUUAGAGUACUCACAUUACUCCCUGCACCUUGUGAGCAGAUGCAGGUAUAUCGGAACCCGGUAGUGGGUAUUGAUUGGCUCAAACGCGGAGUCAUCAGAAUUAGUAGGUGGCUGCAUGACGUCCGCAGCCCCGCUCAUUUCCUUACAUUGCUAUUACUGUAAUUAGUAAAUUAUUUUAGAGUUCUUGUUGUAUUCAGACCUUGAUAGAUGCUCAUGACUAGUGACACCCCGAUGUCGGGCUUUUGUAAAAAUUCCGUACUUGUUCCUUCAUAUUUAUAUUAUGAAAUACUGCUCUAAUUAAAGGUUUAAAAAUGUCUUUUUAAUGAUUAAAGGGUUAAUGUAAGUGUUGUGUCGGCUGGUCUUGUCUUCAUGAGAGGCGUCAUCACGACCGGGCUGAUUUGGAUCAUGACAAGUUGGUAUCAGAGCCUAGGUUACUAGGUCUCAUGAGUCAUGAGCAGGUUUAGUAGAGUAUCGUGGAUCGGUAUGGAGACAUCUGUUUUUAUCCUCGCUAUGCUUCAGAACCUUUAGGAAAACUUCACAUUCUUGAAAAUUCUUAUUAUGCGUCCUUGAUUCAUCUUGAAAAGUAACUCUUUGAAUUCCUUCCACGCGUUCGUAUGCGCAUGAGCACUCAGUAUCAGAUGAGCCUUGAUGUCUUGUGAUUUCUCUGAUCGAGUGGCGAGAUGUGAUCUUUGUGAGUUUGGUGUUGGGCUGGUUUGGAGGACUUGAGAACGGAUCGUUGCCUAUGGAUUGAGCACCGAGGUUCUGAUUGUGUGAGCAAGUGUUUUGAAAUUAUAUGUUUGGUAUUGUCCCUAUUAGUGGAAAUGACGGUUGGAUAGCUAUAUGAUGAGAAUGUUAGUACUGCUUAAUGUUUGUGAUGGUGGAAGGUAUAUAGAAAUGUUAGUUGAAGGCAAAGCAUGUGGGUUAUAUCCUAUGGAGUGUUGUGAAGUGGUGUAAUCCUUAUGUUUUGUGUUAGAAGAUCUUAUUUACAAGUGAAAAAUAUGUGUUGAAAUUUAAAUUUGGGUCACUUAAGAAAGUGGGCUUGGCUGUUGCGAUGAUGAAUACGAGAUUUGCAAAAUCUUUAACGUACUAGUUGAUUUUUGCUUGCACAGGCUUACAAAGAAUUUGAUUUUAAUCUCACUAUGGUAUUGUGGCAUCAAUGGAGUAUAAGUGUUAUGAGUUAUUAAAUGUAUUCUGAUCUAUGGCUUCGAGCCAAGUGGAUGAUUUUGCUAUUGAUUAGCUAAUUGCUCGAUUAUGUGCUAUGUUGGUUCCGAUUUGAGGCGUGUGGUGAAUCAGUUCAGGUUGCAGAGGUUGAGCCCGAGGAUGGUCGAGUAAAGGAAAUUUUUGAAUAAGGAAAGGUUAUGUGUUGUAGUGUCAUAAGUGUCAAUAAGGUGUUGGUUGUUCAGUUCUGUUGAUCGGGCUAAGUGCAGUACGAAUAAAGUGAAUGACUCUCAAAAAUGAUUCUAAUGUGUUCAAGAUGCUUCAUGUAGAAAUCGGGUAUCUCGAAGUCGUAUGUGUGGUAGAAAUCGAGUUUUCAUUAAAAGAGUUCAAGACUUAUGGUAUUUCUAUGUUAAUUAUGGGAUUAUAUGUAUUAGUAUCAGGAAGAUAAAGGUUACGGAUUUAAAUUUUCCGGAUGUCCUUUAGAGUAAGGUAUUUUGGAAUGUGGUGCUUUUGGGAAUAUUUAAGAGAAUAUUAAAUGGCUUAUGGGUCUUAGGCAGUGUGGAUUUAUGCUUGGGCCUCAUGUGGUAAACCUGGGUUGAGAAAUUGUGUUGCUACAGCAAGAGGGAGUAUCAAGUUGAAAAUUGAAUCAGAAGGAAAUCUAGAUAGACGGAGUAGCUUGAUAGUAGACCGAAUCAGUAUGGUAAGGAUGUGAUUAAUUCCUUUUGUGUGCUCAAGGAAAUGAGUUCUUCAGGUAUUUUUCGGCGAUACUGUUAGGUUUUAAUGGCUUGCUUAUCUUGAUCAAGUUAGGAGGAUUCAGUCCGGAUAGGUCUGAUUUGUGCAAAAGAAACUCGGAGAGUUCUUAAUGGGUUUUGUUUUGAUUAAUAGAUGUAUAUUUUCUAUGGGCAUGCGGAGCAUGGGAUGUAUAGUGACUUUCUUCUAAAGGGGGCCAAUGGAAAGGUCUUAACUAGUUGAGUACGUAGAUGUUUGUAUCUGAGAAGGGAUAUGAAUCUCUACCGGUUAUCCUAGGGUGGUAUGGUUAUGUGGUAUGUCGUUUAAGACUGAGAUUUUCAUGUGUAAGGUCACGGUUCAGAUUUAAAGGAAAGAUCAUAACUUCUUAGGAAGCACGGACAGUUCAGAUAAUUAGAGAAAUGAACUUCAGAUGAUUUAAUAAGGGAUCUCCAAGUGAUUAAGGAAAUGGUAAUGCUAAUAGAGGUAAAUUGACGAAGGUAUAUGUUUCAGAAAAAGGCAAUGUGAUCAAGUUAAUGGUACUUCGGUAGUAUUACGGCACUUCAUGUCAGAUCGGCUGCUGAUAUUCGAGUUCGCUUGGCAACUCAAAAGAAUCUUAGAGUAUCUCUCAUGGAAUGAUUCAGUACUGGAGGGGAGUUAUAUAUGCGAGUGGCAGAAUUGGGAUCAAAUAUGGUAAUUCGUGUGUUUUGUGGACUUGGAGACUGGAAGUUCUCAUAUGCAGUUUAGCUUGUGGUUGUGGAUGGAAAAAUGUGGGGUAAGUUAGUCAUAUAUUAGUAUUUACUAUGAUUCAGUCAUUGUGGACCUUCGAAGGAUUAUUUAUCUAUUGUGUGUAACUGGAGCUGAUGUGUGGUCCAUUGGUAGACUUAUACGGAUAUGUGCCCAGCAUCGAGAUGGUUUUGUUGACUUCGAGUUAUUGUUGGCGAAGGAUCUGUUGACUCGGUUGUUUGAGCUAUUAGAAAUUAGGGGAAUCUAUGUGUUACCUUUCUGUGUAGCGAGACAAUACGAUCUGUUGGUUAUAGGCACCUAUGGUGCGGUUCUAUUGGAGUUCAUAAUAGAAGUCUAGCAGGAAGAGUAAUUAGGUGUUACUCGAUGAAUGGCGUAUCAUUUAUGUCCUAACGGAUUUGCGUGGUAUAUGUUACUUGUUUCACCAUGAGUGUAAUGAUUUGAUUUGGUUCCAGACAUCAAAUUUAGCGCGGUUAUCGAUUUCUAGCAUAGUGACUUGAGGUGUUUUAUAUGGAGCACUGUUUGGAUAGGAUCACACAUCGUAACGAAGCUAUGUGGAAAAGAAUGACCUGGCGGGUUAGAUUCGUGCGUUCUAUUUUUAUGAUGCAAAUGGGUUCUUAUCCGUGUGUUGUGAUGGUACUGGCGAGCUUGAGGUAUAGCUCUUUCAUUUUAUUCAGUUUCAUGAUGUGAGUAUGUUCGGAUUGUUGCUUAUUGAUGCGCGGACUGUGCAAGUUUUGGAUUUAGCAUGUCUUGGUGUGUCAUGUCACCAGGUAAUUAUGUUGGAUUAGAUGGGAUCGUUGGGGUCUGUAAUGAAUACAAGCGGAUUCGAUUUUAGCAUGUUUGAUGUAUAAAUAUCGAGGUUCAGUUCAGAAAUUUGCUAUGGUCCUUGCCAAACGAGAAGCAGCCUUAUGGAUGGCUGAUCUGAGAUAUGGUUUGGUUUAUUGCGUGUUUCAUCUAUCAUUGGCAGUAUAUGGAAGUGUUGGAAAGAGAUUUUAGUUGUUAAGAGGUUUUCUGUCGGUAUUCGGUUGUUAUGGGCAGCGAUUGUGACUAUAAGUCAUCGCUUCGAGUGGUUGAGUUAUAUGGUAUACCCUGUGAUUGUGCCUGAGAUAGCAGAUAUGGGUUGUCAUAGCUUGUUUGGACUUAUUCACAGUAUAACUGUGAGAUUCUGAUCGCAUGAGGAGUUUAAAAGCAUAAAUGUGGUUAUAUGGUUUAUGGGCUAUGAUGGAUUGUGAUAUUCAGUUUUGUAGUGUUAUAGAACCUAUGUGAGAUAGGGUGGACAUGGUGUCACACCCUGGUAAGUGUAUGGUAAGGCUAGUCAGCGAUUGAUGGCUCUUGGAACAACUCCGAGUACGUUCGAGGACGAACAUGUGUUUAAGUGGGGGAGGAUGUAACAACCCAACCAGUCAUUUUGAGCUUUUGCAUUUUGAUCGCUAGUUCUCGGGCAGGACUUUCCCCGUGUAAUUUAUUACGACUGAUGUAGAUCGUUGGUUUUGGUUUUCAGGAAAAUUUGGAAUGAAUUUGAAAGAGUAGUCUAUAUUGAAAGCUUUGAAUUUUGAAAGGUUUGACCAAGAGUUGACUUAUUUGUAUAUGAGCUCGGAUGUGAUAUAUGAUUAUUUGGUUAGAUUCGAGGGAUGAUCUGUGAUUUAGUAGUGUAAUCGGAAGUGGUUUUGGACGUCCGGCGUAUAAUUAGGCUUGAAUUGGUGAAGUUAGUAUUUUGGCAAUUUCUGGUCGAUAGAUGAGAUUAUGAUAUGAGGGUCGAAAUGGAAUUCUGAGAGUUGAUCUGGCUUCGUUAUAUGAUUUGGGAUGUGUGCGUAAAAUUUUAGGUCAUUCGGAAGUCAUUUGGUUGGGUUUUUUUAUCAAAAACGUGUUUUGGAGUUUUAGAAGAACUUAGGCUUGAAUUUGAUGUAAUUUGAUGGUUUUGAUAUUGUUUGAGGUGUUUUGAUGAUUACAACAAGUUUGGUUGAUGUAUUAGGAUGUGUUGGUGCUUUUGGUUGAGGUCCCGGGGGCCUCGGGGUGAUUUCGGAUGGCUAACUGGAAGUUUAGAACUUGGAAAGAAUAGCAGAAAAUGCAGCAGCAGGUGUAGGCCUAUUUUGGCCUUCGCGUUCACGAGCCUGGGGCCGCGUUCGUGAAGGAGAAAGUUGGGGUCCCUGAGAUUUGUGCUUCGCAUUUGCGUUUGGUAUGUCGCAUUCGCGGAGAGUAAGAACCUUGUGCUUCGCAUUCGCGAGGAUUAUUUCGCGUUCGCAUAAAAGAAUUGAGGAUCCGUAUAAUUUAAUCUUCACGUUCGCGGCAUAAAGCUCGGGUUUGCGUAGUUGAAACAGUUGAAGCUUCGUGUUUGCGGGUAGGGAACCACAUUCGUGAAGAGUAAUUUUGGUCAAGGAAAUUUUGGAACAAGUUUGGUUGAUGUCUUAGGAUGUGUUAGUGCUUUUGGUUGAGGUCCCCGGGGCCUCGAGGUGAUUUCGGAUGGCUAACGGGAAGUUUAGAACUUGGAAAGGAUAGCAGAAAAUGCAGCAGCAGGUGCAGGCCUAUUUUGGCCUUCGCGUUUGAGAAGGAGAAGGUUGGGGUCCCUGAGAUUUGUGCUUCGCGUUUGCGUUUUGUGUCAUGGAGAGUGAGAACCUUGUGCUUCACGUUCGAAUGUAUUAUUUCGCGUUCGCACAAGAGGAAUUGAGGAUCCGUAUAAUUUGUUCUUCACGUUCGUGGCAUAAAGCUCGCGUUUUCGCAGUUGAAGAAGUUGAAGCUCCAUGUUCACGGAUAGGGUACCGCAUUCACUAAGGGUAAUUUUGGUCAAGAAAUUUUUUGUGCAUAGCGAACGCACGAAAGCCCUCGUGCUCGCAUAAAAGGAAAUCAUAGUUGGGCAAAAGGGUUUUUAAAAUAUUUCUUCCGCAAGCCUAAGUCAUUUUUCCACCAUUGUUGAGCAUUUUGAGAGCAUUUUGGGAGGAAUUGAAGAGGGAUUCAAAGAGGAUCUAUUGGAGGCAAGUUUUAUGAACCCAAAACGUGAUUAUAUUCAGAAAUUAACCUACAAAUUCAUGGAAAACUAACCAAAAUAUGGAAGAACUGGGGCUUAAGAUUUUGGAAUUUUAAUUUGGGAUUUGAGGGGUCAUUUGGACCUCAAUUUUGGUGUUCUUUAUAUGUAUAGACACGUCGAGUGACAAGGAACCCGUUGAUGUAAUAAAUUUUGAGUUUCACAAAGUGGUCCCGGGGCUCGGGUUUUGGUAAUUUCAGGUUUUGUGCCCGACAUUAAUUAUUUUUGCUUGAGCUUUAUUCCCUUAGCAUAUUGUGAUGUAUUUUUUUUUUAUCAUUGAUAGAUUUGACACCCGUGGAGGCCAAACUAAGAGGCAAAGGCAUCGCGAGCUAGAGAUUUCAUGGUUCGUGGUAAGUAAUGAUUGUAAAUACCAUCCUGAGGGUUUGAAACCCUGGAUUAUACAUUAUUGUGUUACUUUGAGGUGACUUACACGCUAGAUGACGAGCAUGGGGUAGAGCACCGCAAGGGAUUGUGACCCAGUCCAUCCCGAACGAUUAUUUUCCUGCAUAUUUGAUAGUUAGUUGUCUGCUGUUACUAUAUUUUGGGUUGUAGGCCAUGCUUGGAGCCUUGUGCUGACUUAUUGAGACCCUCAGGGGCAUUUUUACUCUCUUUCCUCAUUCUAUUUGUUUGAAAGCAUAUCCUCAGUCAUGUUUUACCUUUUUUAUUACUCAAAUCUAGCUUUAUCACCAUAUUCUUAAAAGAUGUGGAAACUGUGUUGGGAUGAGUUCCCUGUUCUACUGAUGGUUAGAGUGAUCGUGAGAUGAUGAUUGAGGUAGACCGAGGUUCUGAGUGUGAUCAUGAUGACUGAUAUAGACUAAGAGUUUGAUGGUAAGGUUAAUGAUUGAGAGAGGCCGAUCCUUGUUGAGGAUUAUACUUAUAUGGAUCGAGCUACACACCACAGCAAUAUAUAAAUAUAUGUAUACGGAUUGGGCUGCAUGCCGUAGGAUACUUAUAUGGAUCGGGCUACACGCCGCAAUGAUAUGUUGGAUCGGGCUACACGCCGCAGCAAUAUUGUGCUUGGGCCAUAAGGGGCCUAUCCCAGAGUAUGCACACCCCCAGUAAGCAUCGUCGACGAUGUAUAUGGAUCGGUUGCACGGUGCAGCGGGUACUAUAUGGUACCUAUUGAGCGUAAAUGUUGAGUGCGAGUAAUGAUUGGUAAGAGUUGAGUCAUGAAUGAUAGAGAGACUAGCCCGAGGGGCGAUAGAUAUAUACAUGCAGAUGAGUGAUACUUUGCCUGGGAGGCCUGUUUAUGAACUUAUUGACUUCACUCCUCAUUAAAGUGAUUUUCUAUCAAAUAUGUUUAUUCAUUGUCUACUUUCACUCAUUUAUAUUGAGCCUCUGUCGAAAAGUUCAACGAAUGAUUUAAAACAACUUUAAUUUAAACUGGGGUCUAUGAGAUAUUCAUAAAUUAAUCAUGAAUUUGGUAUUUGGCUAUCUCCACCGAGAUUUCAAGUUAUGAAGUGAUUAUGAUUAUUGUUUUGCCUGAAGGGCUGUUUUACGAACUAUGUUUGCCCGAGGGGCCGAUUAUGACUUUAAUCUUUAUUAUCAUUUUAAAUGGUAUUGAACCCCCCCAGAAACUGCUGGAAAGUAUUUCAAAAUGAUUUUUACUAAAACACGAACUUUAAGAGGGAAGGUUGACUAGUAUUAUGAUUUGAAAGCCUAUUCUGUUUAUUAAGCCUAAUGUUAAUGUGGAUUCAUUGUUUACUACUGCUCAGUCUUUAGUUACUCUUAUUACAUUCUAAGUUAGAGUACUCACAUUACUCCCUACACCUCGUGUGUAGAUACGUAUAUAUCGGAACCCGAUAGCGGGUGUUGAUUGGCUCAAAUGCGGAGUUAUCAGAGUUAGCAGGUGGCUGCAUGACGUCCGCAGCCCCCCUCCUUGCCUUACAUUUCUAUACUAUAAUUAGUACAUUAUUUUAGACUUUUUAUUGUAUUCAGACCGAUGUCGGGCUUGUGAAGAAAUUCUGCACUGUUCCCUUCAGAUUUAUGUUAUGAAAUAUUGCUCUAAUUAAAGGUUUAAAAAUGACUUAAUGAUUAAAGGGUUAAUGUGAGUGAUGUGUCGGUUGACCUUGUCUUCACGAGAGGUGCCAUCACGAUCGGGCCAUUUUGGGGUCGUGACAUUCUAACUGUAGCGACAACUUCAAAUUAACUUCAACUUUAAUACUCAAAGUACCUAAUACAAUUGCUUCAAGAUAAACGUGAAAGGUACAAUUUGAAAACCACAUACUACAAUGAAACUAGAAUAAAAUAUAGACAUUUGGAAGUGGUUCUUCUAUCUGGUUCAUGUAGCUUUAGGUUCCCGCACUUGAAUCACACAAGAAUUGCUUGCAAAAUGCAUUGUUAUUUUGCUCUCAACUCACGUUUAAUUUCAGCCUUUUGUGUGUAUAUGUAUAGUUGUUAGAUCUGAUUUUAAUGAUGCAAAUAAUAUAUCUAUUCUUUGUACAGGAACUUAUGGAUAGCAUUCAAUAUUGAAGGAAUCAAUCAGAGAAGAUCAAGGAAUCAAUGGAUAGAUACGAGAUGGAAGCUACAAGAUGGAAGGAAUCAUUCAGAAAAAUCAAGGAAAGCAUCCGAGCUUAGAGGAAUCAAUCAAAGCCUAGACUUAAGGAAUCAAAUAAAUCAAGCGUAUCCAAAUCUAAAAGGAGCAAGAUUUUGGGAAGCAUAAAAGGAAAAUCAUUCAAGUCUCUCGUCAAGCAUAGUCGUUGUUGCAUAACCUUACUUUUGGAAAGAAUCACUUUCUUUCCUAUGAUCAAAUCUCUUGGGUUGGAAAAUCUCAAUAGAAACCAAGCCUCUCUCAAAGUAUUUAAACUUGUAUUUGUA
rnacentral:lncRNA from 1 species